CUGAAAUAUACUCAGAGUCGCAAAGUGAUUUCAUGCUCUUUAUUCAGCUCAUAGUGGUGAGGAGGAAUGAAUGAAUGUCCCCUCAAAGUAUCUGCUUUAUAUACAUUAUUUACACAAUGGGCUGCACAUGAUUGGCUAAUUCUGGAAUUCUACUGUAAGCCAAUCAGGUUGUGGAUUCACUUCUAUCUGGAGCAUGAUUGGGUGGUUCCUGCCAACCAAUCAUAGUGCUGCAUUGUUCUAGGACCAAUCAGACUGCUGCAUUCUGAAUCCUAUGGUUCUAGGACCAAUCAGACUGCUGCAAUUUGGAUCCUAUUGUUCUAGGACCAAUCAGACUGCUGCAGUUUGGAUCCUAUUCAGCUCAGUACAUAACACCCCUCCCCUCUAAGUUCCAGUCCUGCCCGGGAGGUCGCAUUCAUAGUCCUCGAGGUACGCCAGCGGCCUACGUGUGUGUUGCAGCCUGUGGUGUUCCCUGGUCCGGGGUUCAGGUUCUGGCUCGUGUUCCAAGGAUGCUGGCUGUGAUGGGGCUGUUUGGUCUGGCGCAACCGGCUCGCUCAGUCGUGGUUCUGGUUCCGGUGUCCUUUCGGCCUCGCGGGUCCUCUCUGUAUUUACUGAUUCUGCCUCUCCUGCUGGCCCCUCCUGCUCUAUGGGCCUCACUGCCCCUCUGUUCCCUUGGGACUCCUCUGACCUUUCCUCCUCCUGGUUUUCUCCCGGGAAUCGACGCCGUAUCUGGUCACAGUGGCGGCACCAGCAUUGCCCCCCAUCCGUUAGCACCUCGUACGACACGGGGCCAGUGACCCUGGUGACUGUGGCGGGUACCCAUGCUGGGCCUGCCCCAAAAUUCUUUGCGUACACUGGGUCCUGGGCCUCGAAGGUCCGGGGGUUCCUGCCUUCCCCCCACCACUACCUCAUCCUGAGCUCUAUCGGGGUGAAGGUGGUCCAAUCUGAUUGCAAGGCGCCGACCCAUUAGUAGUUCUGCGGGCUCCGGCCAGUCGUUGAGCUGGGGGUGCUGUGCUGUGCUAGAAGGAAUGUGGCAAGGCGGUACUCCCAAUCCCCUUGCGUCAUGCGGCAGAGGGUGUCCUUGGUGGUCCGCACCAUGCGUUCUGCUUGGCCAUUGGUGGCAGGGUGGAAUGGCGCCAAACGGAUGUGGCGGAUGGCGUUCUGCGCUGUGAAGGUUUGGAAUUCUCCUGACGUAAAUGCAAUCCCGUUGUCUGAGACGAGAGUGUCAGGGAGCCUGUGGGUUGCAAACAGCCUGCGUAGUACCCGGAUGGCUUCAGACAUGGAAGUGGACGGUACCAGUGCGACUUCCAGCCAUUUGGUGUAGGAGUCCACCACUAUGAAGAAUGUUUUCCCCUGAAUGGGGCCAGCGAAGUCCACAUGCAGGCGUGACCAUGGUGCUCGGGCGGACUCCCAGGACUGGACUGGGGCCCUUGGGGGAUCUGGGCGGGAUUCUUGGCAGGCCUGGCAGUGUUUGACCCAGGCCUCUAUCUCUCCGUCGAUCCCCUGCCACCACACGUAACUCCUGGCCAGGGCCUUCAUUCUUACUACCCCUGGGUGUGUCUCGUGUAGGGCUGUGAGGACCCUUUUGCGGAGGGGCUGGGGAACAACGACCCUGCUUCCCCAUAACAGGCACCCCUUGUGGGCCGACAGUUCAUGUUUGUGGGUUGUGUAGCCAGCGAAUUCUGGCCCAGGGCUGCUGCUGGGCCAUCCCCUCCACACCCAGUCCAGGACCCGGGAGAUGACCCUAUCUUUCUUGGAAUGGUGUGCAACUUCUUGUGCCUGAAUGUGGCUGUCGGGAAGCAGCUCCAGGCUCAUAACCUCUUGUGCAGGUGCUGGGUCGGGGCCUGUUUCCGGUAGUGGUAGCCUGCUGAGGGCAUCCACAUGGCCCAUCGCCUUCCCCGGGCAGUGAAUCAGUGCAUACUGGUAGCUGGCAAGGAAAAUUGACCACCUGAGGACACCUGAGGAGACAGCACUUGGGGAGUCUGCUUUUCGGGGGCAAACAAGCCAAGCAAUGGCUUGUGGUCAGUCACCAUGGUAAAGGGCCGCCCGUACAAGAAAUCAUGGAAUUUUUUUCUCCCUUCACGAUUGCCAGCCCCUCCUUGUCUAUUUGCGAGUAGUUCCGCUCGGUUGCGUUGAGUGUCUGGGGAAAGUAUGCUACCGGUACCUCUCUUCCCUCCGGGAGUUGGUGUCCCAGGACAGCGGCAAUGCCAUAGGGCGAGGUGUCGCAUGCUAGCACCACCGGCAGCCUCUCGUCGAAGUGUGCCAAGACCGAGUUUGAGACAAGCAAGUCCUUGACUGCCUGGAAUGCGGCCUCCUGGCGCUGGCCCCACACCCAAGGGGCCCGCUUGUCCAGGAGUCUGUGUAGGGGCUCCGCUACCGCCGCCUUGUGGGGAAGGAAGGAAUGGUAAAAGUUCAAUAGUCUGAAUCCUAUGGUUCUAGGACCAAUCAGACUGCUGCAAUUUGGAUCCUAUUGUUCUAGGACCAAUCAGACUGCUGCAGUUUGGAGCCUAUUCAGCUCAGUACAUAACAGACCCCCUCCGUGUGAGCGCUUGUGGGAGCUUGGAUGGCUAUUAAUACAAGCUUUGUGUGUGUUGUUGUGUCCUGAACAUGCACCUCCGUUUUUAUUAUGAUCUUCAAGGAAGAAAUUGCGUUACAAUAUAUUUUGUGUUUUGCAUCUUGCCUUCCUCGCUGGAAAAUGGGCAUGGGAUCUAACUGUUGCUUGAAUCUGAAGCACAGAAUUGCACUUGGAACAAAUGUACCAAUUUCAGCCUGACACCUCAGGGAGACAUAAAAGCAUGUUGCUAAUAAAAUUGCAAACAUGGAAUGAUAAAUGUGUGAGGUAAACCAAAGGCCUCACUUUGCUCAGGUAGUCAAAGUUUACAAAGUUUACAAAAGCACCUUAAAGAUCAAAGAACUGGAGGUUUAUAAGCAGAGGUUGGAUGGGCAUCUGUCCUGGAUGCUUUAGCUGAAAUUCCUGUGUUUCAGGGGGUGGACUAGAGGGCCCUUGGGGUCCCUUCCAACUCUACAAUCUUAUGAUUCUAUUAUUGUAUGGCUGACAGACUUCAAUAGCUAUGAUUCUCCUAACUUGCUAAUUUUAGAGGGGUGGCAGUUUCCAAAGAAUUGGGAGGUGUUUACACAGAGAAUCCCCAUUAUAUUUUGUUAUGUCUUCUUUGAACUACACCUAUUUUAGAUCUGGCCCACAGGAUGUUCUCAGAGAAUUAGAUGCAUUAUUAUACCACACACAAGCACACAAACACAUUUUGCUUCCAAAGAGCGAGACAGGGAAAAACAAAUCAAUGCAGAUCAUUUUAAGUAUUGUUUACAUCCCGCCAGUGGCUAGUCUGCGCACAUCUUACAUCGGUGAUUUACACAGUGGAAAAGCAGAAGCUGAUCCAUUUCUUCUGUAAAUAGCCUGUUCCUCAGCUCUGUUCAGCAAGUGGCCAGCUCCUUUUUGUCCCUAUCCUCCUCUUCUGUUUACUCUUUGGGAGUGUUGUCUUAUAAUACAUAAUGAUACACUUCUUAUCUUAGAAUAUAAAAUUCUGUGGCUUCUUCUCCUGGAGAAUUUUACAAAUAAAUCACACUGGGCUGGCGUGCGUGCAGGUGGAGCAGGGGGACUAGAUAAAAAACAUAAAAAUGGUUUUUGCUUUUGUAGGGUGAUGAUAUUUUAGGCCAUAUCACAACUAGGCAAUAUUUGGUUUUCAACAUUUCAAUAUAUCACCUGCUAAACAUCAUGAUAUACCAAUAGAUCACAAUGUCUGAAAUAAAGAUGGAGCUAUGUAGAGGCAUUGGCUGGCUUCACGUUUUCUCUAGCAUCAUGAUGUUUUUCGGCACUGCUCUUGUGAUUUGCUGCCCCCUGCAUUAGGGAGGGGAGAGCUGAGCUGGCAGAGUUAAUGUGAAGAAGGAAUGCAGGAAUCAAGAGAAGCAUUGGCUGGCUUCAUGGUUUUUCUCACUGUGAUUUUUGAAUUGCACAUACACACACACCAUGAUUUGCUACUUCAAACUGGUUUUGGACAAUAUAUUGCUCAGUCCAAACACACAUUACGAUUCGCAAUAUAUUACCAGGCCAAAAAUUAUGAAACCAAUAUCACACUAUGGGCUUCAAAAUGGUUUUUGACGAUAUAUUGAUAUAUCGCCCAGCCCUAAUCACAAGAGAUGUUCCUGCUCAGGUGCUCAGAGCAUCCAGCUAAGUCAAUUCAACUGCUUGUGUGCUUGUACUUUUGUAUGGAGGGGAAACUGGUUUAAAAACACUCGUGUCAGAUGUCAUUCUGUACCCUAGAAGCAUUCCUUUCUGUUGUAAUGAGGAGGAGGAGGAGGAGGCUGAUGUCAGUCCGAGACAAGGCAGUGCCCUCUAAGGUGCCAGAGCAGGAGGCACCGGCCAGUCCAGUAAGCUAUGGCAACUUUCAUUUUAUACACUGAAAAUUCUCUAGUUGGGAAGUGGCAGUUUCUGAUCAGCCUCCCUCAGGUGGUGAUGCAAUAGUGAUUAAUGCUGGUCACCGACAACCAUAACAGCGGUGGUCAAGGGCAAGGCAGCCAUGGCAAGCCAGGGUUGAGGCAGAUUUGUGGCUGCCUCAGAUGCUCAGAGCAGGAGAGGAGCAGAGCAGGAGCAGAAGAAGAUCCAAGGUCAGCUGGUUGACAAGAAGCAGGCAGGCCAGACUCUCAAGGAGAAGCAAAGCCCAGGUCAGUCAGAGUCAGGACAAAGGGACAGUGUGGGUGGGUGUAUGAAAGAGAGAAAGAAUGUUUGUGCCUGGAGAAAAUGAUAUAGACUAGGUUCGUGUUGCUUUCAUCCUCCUCCAUUACUGUAAACGUAUUUGCUACCCCACAUAUCCUCUGAUGAUAGUGUCUGAAGCAUCAGUUGCCCUAUAAAAUGUGUUUGGAGGCUGAAACCAAAUGAGAACUGAUCAUUAGGCCCAUUACAAGAACAUCUAGACAAGUUCUAGGCAAGGAAUCUAGAACUGAUUAUAAAAAUGCUUGAUUGGACUUGACUAAAAGAUCAGUGGGUUUCAGCUAUACUCUUCGUAAGCCGACAGAGUUAUGAUACCACCUACUGGAAGAAAUUAGCCAAAAUAAGUUUUAAACCCUCUCCCUCCUCCUGAUUACUCCAGGCUCAUUCUCUUUGAAUGACAUCUGGAAUCACAAAGAGGUUUUUUACUUCACAACAGAAGCAAUAAAGUGGCAAGCAGAAUAUUUGGGUUCUGGAGAUGAACAUGUGGGGUGUAAGGAAUUGGUAAAAAAAAAUGCUCCAUAACUUAAAAAAAUAUAUAUUAAACCUUUUGAGGGCUCCUUUAAGUCCACGUAUGGUUUUGGUUAGUGGUUUAUGGCUCAGAGUUGUUCAGUGGGAUAUCUUAAAUGUGCCAAAUAAUGGAGUAGGUGAAGUGUCUUGCUGAUUCAAAGCGAAAGCCCAGCUGCAUCAGCAUUCCUGCUGCUUCCAACACUGGCCAGCUCAGACGCAAGCAAAGUCAUACUGGUGAAGGCAAAGACUUCUGUCCUCAAUAUGUCAAUUUAUCAUUGGCUAGUUUUCAUCUGAAUUAUAUUUUAGAGAAUCAUAGAGUUGGAAGGGACUCUGAGGGUCAUCUAGUCCAACCCCCUGCAAUGCACAGAUCUCAACUAGAUCCAUGUAUGUUAGGUCCACUCACCUUUUCCUGGUGGGCAGUGUUGCGGCUGGGCAGCUGGGACACAACAGCUUACUGGCCUAAGGGGCAGAGGGGCACCGCCUCUCCCCCUGCGUCUUGCUGGCCGCGUCAUCAUUGCUGGGGUUCUUCCCCCUGUGGAACAGCCCCAGCCAGUCAGCUUUCAGGGUGGGUGUGGCCGCGGGCGAUUUAACUGCAGUGCGAGCGGGCGGUUCCCUCUCUCUCGCCCCAUCACCAGAUCACUCAAACCCCCACCCUCUUUUUAUGCUUUGCUCAGAUAUGAUCUUGCUUGUCAUUUGCCAUAGUGUUCAGGCCAGGUAGGAAUUUUUCCGUUUGGCAAGCUGGCACCGGCCAUUUGGUUUUUGCUACCUGCUAGCAAUCAUCACAACUUUUGUGAGAUUAGGCAUUGGGUAAACCUUUGUUUGGAGGGAGGGGAGGUUGCCUUCGCCUGCCCCUCCUCAGUAAGGGCACCCUGUGAAAGGGAUCUGGGGUGUGAAUGCUGUCCGAAGCCUGGGCUAGGGCCAUGUCACAGCCCCUACAGGGACCCCUUGGGGUGCCCUUAUUUGAUGUAAGUCAUAGGGCUCCCCCUAUUGGUGGUUUACCCUUAAAUGGACUCCUUACAGACAGGCAGGAGUCAAGGUAUAGCUUGGCUUCACCCCAAUGCCUAAGCCAAACCGCUCACAUCUGUAACCAAUAAAGUUGUGCCCUAUUUGAAUCCAUUUGAACCCAUGUGUUUUAUUGUUCUCCUGGCAACUUUGUGGCUCAGGUGCCUUGGCACGCAACUGGCCAUCCCACCUCUGCUUAAAAACCUCCAAGGAUGGAGAGUUCACCCCCAUCCCCCAAGGGAAUCCGUUCCACUGUCCAACAGCUCUUACUAUUGAAAAGUUCUUCCUGAUGUUUAGUCAGAAUCUCCUUUCAUGUAACUUGGAUCCAACGUUCAGGUCCCAUCCUCCGGAGCAGGAGAAAUAGGCUUGGCUUUCUUGCUUAUUUUCUUAACCCACAUAAUGCUUUAUAAACAGCAUAAAUGGAGGGCAUCAAGAGAUUUUUAAAAGAAUAUUUGUAUCAAAGCAAAAGAUAAAGAUUGCCUGUGCUAUAUUUUUUAAAAAAAAAACAACAACCAGAAACAGUAUUGAUAGGCAUGGGGGACAGAAAAAUCAAUAAAACAAGCUUGCUGCAAAAAUUGAUUUGGACAUGAGCAAACAACGUUUUAGCUGCAUCUGCUGCUUAGAAAUCUCUUGCCCUUUGAUGAGCAGUGUCACUGCUGGGGUGGUGAAGUCAGAAAAGCAUUACAAGCACCAGAAAGGCAGAAUUGCAGCAAGGCAUCACCUGCAAUUAACGAGAGAAAGCUCUAGCUAGAAACUGGAUGUUUAAGGCAUUGUGUGAAGUGGCUCCCUUCUUCUAAAAAGAUUAAAUUCCAAAUGUGAGAAAUCAUUACUUAGGAGGCAGGACAAAUAUUGCUUAGGAGUGCCCCUGCUACACUUGUUCUGCCACCAUGGUGAACAUGCAGACUCAUUGGAGAAUCAUCUGGCAUUUCCUAUUUUGAGCAGAAUCCCAGACUUAUUCAUAGGUGAGUUACAUGAGAACAGCACUUGCCCCUAUAAGCAUUCCCCAGGCACGCUGCCAUUUUCAGAUGCAUUAACCACCUUUAGCAGCCCAUGCAUGUGUUCUGUUACCCUGCCUGCAGCCCACCCAGCUGAGCUGCCAACAGUUGGUGUGUAAUGUGCCCGUGUGCUUUCAGCUGGCAAGGGUGGUGCAGUGCUUUGGCUUAGGUGGGGCCAUAUCCCUGAGCAGCCAUGAAUUUCCCAGGGUGCCUUGAGCCAGUCACUGCCUGAGCCUAGCAUACUCAGCGCCAAGGGGUCAUGGGCCAGGCCAGACCUGCCUUCCAAACCUCCAGGCUUGUAAAAUAUCACUUGAGCAAAGGACAUCAUCACUCCUGCUGUGAAAAAGGUCCUGGAGGUGUGACGCUCCCACGCAGGGCCAGAUUUACGUAUAAGCUAAACAAGCUAUAGCUUAGGGCCCCACUCUUUGAGGCCCCCCCAAAAAAGUAAAGAAAAAAAGCAACUGGGUGUACAUUUCCAAUUACUUUGAUAAAAUACAUAUUUUGUUAUGUGCAAAUGACUUGAUAUUUUGUUAUGCUGAAAUUGUUAAUAAAAAAAAUUAAAACAAAAAACCCAACACCAAACAUAUUGCACAAUAGGACUGGGGAACGUGUGGUCCUUCAGGUGUGGCUAAACUGCAACUCGCAUCAUCUGGACUAUUGUAUUCCCUCAUCAUUGAAUACAAACAUUGAUGGGAUUUAAAUGCUUAUUGAUGACAGAAAAACAUUCUGCCUGUGUUUCAAGCCCUCGCUCUGGUCAUAUACUGUAACAACCACAUGUUGGCCAGGGAUUAUUGAAAUGGCUUCUGGAGUUAAUCCCUAGAAUAUCAUGGCCCAAAUUUAUAUAUGAAAAACAUCUAUAAGAAGCGGAACUUCUUUUAUUCUAAUGCUUCUGUUAUAUUUAAAUUAGGUAAUAGGCAUGUCUCGUCCUCAGUUACCUGAGGGAAGAUGGUAACUAGGUAGCAGGUAAAAAAGAUGACGACAACUUUCCCUGGUUCCUAGUGUGGAGUUAUUCACAAGAAUUUGCAGAUACCUAGCCUGGUCUCCUCUUGUGAUCAUGAUGAGGUGCCAGUUUUGUCACAUACAGAGGCUCAAAUGCUUGUGCUUUCAGAUAUCUGAUUGUGCAGAAUGCAAUCGGGGGGGGGGGGGACUCAGCUUAAAAUAACUUCUCUGUUCUAUUGAGGGAACUAAUCUUUCUCUUAAAUUGCUGACAGCUCAACACAGGUGGUGGUAACCUGGGGCUUGCUCAGGGCACUGCAGGUUGAGACUUGCAUCUCCUGUAAUCAGUCUGAUUGUCAAUGGCACUUCAUUGGUGUACAGAACAUGCUUUUUAUUAUCGUUCUCUAAUGCUUUUUCUCUUGGUAAAGGAAAUAAUGGUAAAUUUAAAUUGUCGUUUCCUAACUCUGCAAAGAUUUUCUUUCUCUCCCCUCCCCCACACAACUACUCCUAACUCCAGGUCUCUUCAUCCUCAUCAUCCUUUUAAAUUACAUUCUGUUUCAUUAAUUAAAUACAAUCCUCCCAUAUUGAUAUGGGGAUUUUUUCAAUCGCACUAAGUUAAUAUUGUGUUGUAAACUGCCCUGUGAUCCUCUGAUGAAGGGCAGUAUAGAAAUUUAAUAAAAUAAUAUGCAAAACAGAUCAGACGUAAAAUACAAUGGGAAAAACUUAUUGACUCUGUUUGGAUAAUUUUUAAUUAGAGAGAGUGUCAAAAUCAAUCUCAACCAAAGAAACCAAGGUGAAAUAAGAUCCUGAGCUCUGGUUGAAGAAGAGUAAUUUUGGAUUAGACCAAGGCCUAUAGCGCGCUUUGCUCAUGGUCCAUCCCUGGAGCCCAUUCUUGGCUCCAGUAUCUCUGCCUUCAAGCUGGGAUUGGAUGACAGAAUCCAUUCCACACCUGCCAGUCUGUUCUGGAUUUUGGGUGGACUGAAAUCAGCUUGCUUCAAGAGCUUCCAAAACUUUUGGAUGUGAAACCCAAUGGCUCUAUUUACACCUAGCUGCAAUGUGCAGGAGUUCCCAUGUUACAAUUAAAAACCUGGUUGGCAUGCUACGGAGUUCAGUGGGUAAGAUAAACAACCAUUUGGGAGAAGUGGAAACAAGAGAAGUUGAAGCUGGCACAGGAGGAAGAAAGAGGUGAUUCCGAUAUAAGGGAGUCUACAGGCUGUUAAUAGGGCUCUGAGUGAAAACUCUCGUAUCUGGAUGGGUGUUCUCAUGAAACAACAUCAAAAUUACUGAGGUGCCAAAGAGGCAAGAACAUGGAAGCCCCACAGCUUUCAUGGACUCUCUUUAUUGCAUAUUAUUUUGGAUUUAUCUCCUGAUUAUGAAUUAGAUGUCAGAAGGGCUUAUAGAUUUACUGUCCCAUCACCACAGGAAGGAGGCCACCCUUCCGGACCAGCCAUAUCAUAUUUUGCAGCCUGAGGCAAAGGACAAGUUUUACACACACACACACACACACUCCACUGCCAGAAGAAUUGGCCAUUGAAUCAUACAUCAACAUUGGUAAAGGGAAGGCAUCCUUAAUUGUACCUGAGACAGCAGGUUAGUUCAGAAGGCCAGGAGAGACUGUGGCAACAGAGGAGAAUCUCUGGGAGUUUUUGGGGAACAGGACUAGGGGCAGCUGCUGUUGCUGUCCCUGAAAUCUGCUGCCUGAAGUGGUUACCUCACACUGCCUACUGGGAAGGUCAUUCCUAUUGCCCUCAUACAUUUGGUUUUAAAGUUCUCCAGUUCCUGACAAAGGAGGACAUUUCAAACAUACAAGAGAGAAGAUGUAUUUGAGUGGGCGCAAGAUACUAAUUCACAAAUUAUGAUAGUCCCUGAUUAUGAAAAGAGGUUGUUAAGAGUCAGCAAGCCUUUUCAGGAGCAUGCCAGGUGUCAAGAGACGGAAACAUAGAAUUGGAUAUUCAAACCCAGUAAUCUUUUGUCUUCAACUGGUGGGGUAUGUGAGGACCUUCCAUGAUGUUGCCUCAGCUGAGGAUUUCCACAUCAUGACCAUCUCCAGCUGAAGUGUGAGCCAACGUUACGCCAUGUUAAUUUCCUUCAAACAUAUGGCUGGAUGUUAUUUCACUUGGAACUAUUUACCUCAUGAGAAAUUUAAUGUGGCUCCUCUUUAAGGAAAUUGCAACUACUAAUUAUGGAAGGAGGUUUCAUUUUAUUAAUGAGCUUUCCUCUUGGCUGCUUCUCUUCAGUGGCAACUCUACCUGCUCAACACCUCUGUCUCCUGCCUGGGCUGAAUUAGAAACCUUUUACGUUACCCCAUUACAGGGCUAGUCGUCACUUGUAUCCACCUUUCUAGGCCUCCCUACUUUCUGCUGUUUAUGCUACUUGGAUUACCUAGUCUGCCAAGGCUUGCACAAAAAGGAGUUAUCAGAUAGAUUUAUCCUACUUCUAUGAGGGGUGAGAGGAAGAGAGAAUUGGAACAUCCCACUCAACGUGAGCUGUGACCUUAUUGACUGUCACGUAGGCUCCACUGCAAAUUGUCAUCUCCAACCCCCAAGAGUUGGUGAUGUAAGGCAGAAAUCACAUUCUUUAUCCGCAUGAUAGAGAGCUACCCAGUUUAAUCCCCUUUCGGGAUGAUGUUUCGGUAAUUAUUAUUUUAGUCCUGGAAACCUGACUACCGUAUAUUUUGAAGAUGUAAAUGUUUUGCUGAAUUACAUCCUGGCCUUUUGGAAUUCAUCUCUGGGCCGUGAACUGUGGUUCACAUAUGCCUGAGGGAGACUGAAAUGCGUUGUGCUUCAGCACUGGAAAGAGAAUUCACAGAAUUUCCUAUAACAAUGGAUCAACGAUUUUCACUUGAUGUCCUUAUUUGAGCUGGCAAUUUAUCAACAAGAGCACAAAGAAGAGAAACGUAACAAUUUUUGGUUUGCUUUAUAUAUACAAUUUUAUAUCAUCAAAACAUCUGAAUCCUUGUCCGCCCUCCCAUUUUGACUUUCCCUUUCUUAUUUUUAACUUGUAUGCUACUUUAAUUGUAUUGUUGAAAAAACAAUAAAAUCGCAUAAAACAACAAUUAAUACGCACAUGGGAGUCCACUCCGGAGCAGGAACUGGCAAUCUUGCAGACAAAAUAAUUCACAGUGACACAAAAUAACCAUCCCUUGACCUACAUGAUUGAUGAUUGUGGUGAGAGCUGUUGUUUUCAGGUGUGCAUCAAAGUGAAUGAUUCCAGGAGCCUCCUCUUUCUUGUUAUGGUUGCUGUUGCCAGCACACUUUUUGUUCAAGGCUGCACCAUUCAUAAGUCAGAGUGAUGAAGUAGUGCCUUUGAACAUCUAAAUCCCCUGGAUCAAAUGCAACAUUUAUGACCAAGACCUAAGCCAAAACAGCAUGGCUUUGCUUUGUGGAGCUGCUGAAUGGUGUGUUUUAAUAAACUACAAAAGAAAGCGAUCUGACUUCCAAAGGUUAUGGCUUGUGUCAUAACAAGAAAUUUUCACAACUACCUGAAGUCAGGUAGUGGUCUGUGGUCUUUCAUAAGUGAGGAGUAAUUCAGAACAAUAUACUGUAGCGAAGCUUUUUGCUGCUGCUUCUGUUGACACUGCAGAGGCAAAAUCUUUUUCUUCCCCCUCCAGUGGGUCAUUGUGCAUGUUCUUCCAGCUAAUAUUCUUAUUACUCUUGUAUGUUUUCUUUCAAUUCUGUCAUUGUCUUUUCCAGUAGUAGAUAGGAGCUUUUAAAACAGAAAGGACCAUAUCAUCUGUUACUUGUUCUUAAAAGGAGCAUGUUACAGGAUAUAAUGCAAGGAACCAUUUUCACAAAAAGCCAAGGGUCUAAUGCCUAUUGAUGGAGUGCUGCUCAUUAGAUUUGCUUUAUUGGCACUAUUUCAACAUGAGUUGCCCAUAGUGGCAUUGUGCUUUUCAAAUAACUGUGUCCUGAAAUGCAGCAGUCCUUGCUCCCAAGGACCCAGUGCAAAACGGUGUCACCUCAAUGCCAAUGUGGGGUUGCCCUGUAACUUCUGCUUUAAUAGAAUCCUACUUACAAUGCAGAAAUGAAAGUCAUCUUCUGUGAUUCACCUGAAAGCCUCCUGAAAUAUGCAUGGCACCUCAACAUUCCUUUCUUUUAACGGAAUUUAUGCAGAAACUGGACAGCUUGUAUUAUACACUUCCACAUAUUUUAUGAGCCCCAGGGGGAUUAGCAUCUUCAAAGUCACCAUAUAAAUGAAACUUCUCUUAUUUCAGCACAACUGCAUUCAGAGCAAAUGGUUAGCAACUGUGGCCUAGGUUGCAUAGAUGCUUUAGUUGAGAUUUCUGCAUUGCAGGGGGUUGGACUAGAUGACCCUUGGGGUCCCUACUGACUCUACAAUUCUAUGGUUCUAUGUUCCCUCCUUUGUAAAUCUUUCCCAUAAGUAGUGCUGGAAAAGCUCCUAGAACUCCGUGCAAUCCAUGUGGAGUGAGGAUGACAGAUGGAAGUCUGCUGUACACACAAGUGAUGCAAGCCAGCCCUUCACUCUCUCGAUGAUCCAACUUUGUAGGGCCUUGUGAGAAAUUCUGAAUGUAGUAACAUGUCUAAAGGGGAUUAUUAUCAAAAAGUGCAGCUGAGAAGUCUUUUGAUUUUGGCAAGAGUAUUAUAACAAUAAAGGUCAUUUGAGAAGGAAUGCAAACAGGCAGAUGGUGAGCUCAGUGCCUUAUGAAUUUUCCUGUAUAGUGAUGUCAUGGGUUUGCAUGAUUUCCCACACAGAUCUGGACCUGGCAGUAACAAUCUGGCCUUUCUUUAAUCUCAGGAUAUCAUUGGAUAAUGUGAGAUGCAAAGAGCCGUCUCAUCACUCACCUCGAUGUGAAGGACAUUCUGAAAAAAAUGCAUUUAAGUAACUCUAUUUGGGCAGGUAACUAAGAAGGCUGUGGGGUCAAGAAGAAGGCACACACAACUGAAACAAAAGUUGAAAUUAUUCCUCAUGAGAACAAGCGCACAGAACUCAUGCCAGGCUGAGCCAAAGAAUAAAUUAAGGGCAAUCAUGCAGUAAAGGCAGCAGAAUGGAUGAACUGGGUGCUUCUCAGCAAGGAAGACAGAUGUUUGGAACAGCUCCUGCCACAAAUUUGGAAUCUCUGAAAUCAUCUCAAUAAUAAAUUGCAGAGCAUUAAACUCUGUCCAUAGAUUUGUUUGUGCAUUUUCUCACUGUCUCGAGGGAGAGUUGCACACAUGCAUCCAAGAACAGAAUUUAACCCAACCAGUGAUUUCUUUCUAUUUAAAGUUAAAGUGCUAAGAAAGCACUACAGCUGGUGCCAGAAAACUUUGAGGAAAAAACUAACCUUUUAGCCAGUUGCGAUGGAAAAGUCAAUGCUGUCGUCAUCACACAAUGGGCACAGUGAAUAGAGAUGAUGAAGUCCAAAUCCCAACUUAUCAAUGAACUGCCUGGCUAGCUUUGGGGAGAUUGCAAUCACUCAGUGUAAGUUAGUGGUUCUCAAAAGGUGUGUCAUGCCACCAUGGUGUGGCAGGAGAGCAUGGCAAGGAAGGCAGGAAGAUUCAAGGACAAUCAAAGAAACAUUUAAACAUUUCCAUGUGGUAUAGUAUAGUAACCAUAAAUAUAGAUAUAGAUUAGAUAUACAAACAAAAACAGUAUCUACAUCUCUCUUCAAGGCUAUUAGCUACAUUUCUCCACAACAUAUUGUUGUGAACAAUAUGUUGUUUCUUCAGCUCUGACAAAUAUGAAAAAUAUGAGAUUACCUGGCAAAAGCCAGUUCACACCUCAUUGAGGUUGUAGACCUGCCUCCUUAAGGUACAAAUAAUGGGUGGUGCGCUAGGGGAAUUAGUGGGGAUGGGGAUAGCUUGCCUAUUUCUGCUUUCCAUGCCUUGAGCAUGGUCUGUGUGUACCUGUUAAGUGUUGUGGGUAUGCUGUGGUGCAGGUAUUUUCAAUUGUGUCCCUCUCUAGGUGUAUCCAUUGUUUUGUCUCAUCUUCUAGUAUGUAUGGGAUUAUAUGGCGUACUUGGUUGUUCUAUGUUGGGGAUUCCCCAUCCUCCUUCUGAGGAGGGGAGGUGCAGGUAUUUGGGGCUUAUUCUUGGUUUUUUAUUUGAGAAGAUAAAAGAGUGUAGUUUUCUCUGCCAUUUGCAGAGUUGGGUUGGGGGAAUCCAGAUUGGGAGGGUUUGGAAUAGAUAGGUUAGUUUUGGGAGGAUGAUCAUUUUGAUCAUGGCUAUUUUGUCUGAGAAAGUGAAGUUUAUGUUGUUCCCUCUCUUUAGGUCUUUGUUAAUUUGUCGCCACAGGGGCUUGUAGUUGUGGAGAUAUAAUUUAUUGAGGUUUCUGGUUAUUUGUACCCCUAGGUAUCUGAACUUGGUGUGGCAAAGUUUUAUCUUGGUGGCGUUAGUGAGUUCUUUUUGGGUGUGAGGAGGGGUGUUGAAGCACAUGGCUUCCGACUUGGCAAAAUUUACCUGUAGGCCCGACACCACUGCAAAUGUGUUGAGUUCUCUGAUUAGGGAGGUUGCUGUGCUUAUGGGGUUUGGUGCUGUACCAUUAGGUCAUCUGAGAAGAGCCCUAAUUUAUAGGUUCUGCCUUUUCAGUGUAUUUCUUAUCAAUUUUUAAAAAGUGUGACCCAGAGAAAAAAGUUUGAGAACCUCUGGUGUCCGUGUAAGGAUGUGCUAGUACUGAGAGGUUUGGCACAACCAUGAAAAGAGAUAGCUGAACUUUGCUCUUCUGCAAUGGCUUCUCCACACGGGAGUGGCAUGUUUCCAUAGACAUUCCCGUUGCUUGGAGAACAACUUGGUAGCAAUGAGGGGAAAUGGUUGCUAUGAGCAAUGGUGAUAAAUGUAGGAGUGGACUGUUCUCAUAAAGUGAAGGACCUCAUGGGCCUGUAGAUAUAGGUCUUUUAUAUCAGCAGGAAUGAGUGAACAAUCUGUGCUGUAAUUAGCAGUGGUGCUAUUUCUUCAAUCUUAUACUGUUAAGAACUUCUUUAGAUUCUGAGAGAAGGAACAGAUUGUCCAGGGUUGCCCAGGUUUCGGUUAUAAAUGUACCUAAAAUGGAUUCUUCUUAGAUUGCAAGCAUUACGAACCAACCUGCUUCAUUUAUUUUCCUCAAUAUCUGCUAUUAGAAUCUUUUCCAUUAUUGAAUUGUAUUGAUGUUACCAUUAGUGUGGAGAGUCAUCUAUGACGAGCUAUUACGCAUUUAAAAGUUCUAUCAAUAAGGGUAUUGAUUUGGGCUAAUGGCUCGUUUUUAAGCUUCUGUUGGAAUAUUUUUCAUAUCCUUAUGUGUAUAAUAGCUAUAUUAGAUUCUUACUUUAAUGGCUUUAAAAUCUCUUUGCUCUUAAGCAUACAAUCCCUCUGAAACAAGGCAAUAUAUAUUGCUAUUUGGUUCUUGUUUUUGGAGAACUAUAGACGGAAUGCCAGAGGGGUUCAUUACAUACAGGAGAUCAUUUCAUUAUAUUUAGUCCAUUAAUUGGGGUAACUGAAGCUACUAAAUCCCAAAUGUUAAAAUGGCAGCCAGUGAUUCUCAGUGGGGAGAUAGGACAAUCACGUCUAAAGGGGGAGGGACCUAUCAUUUUUGUUAUUAUAGGCUCAAUAAAGGCUUACAGGUGGGUUGGUUUGUAUGUUACUUUUAUAUCUCACCUUUCCUCUAAGACAAGUGUUCCCAAACUGUGGUCUGUGGACUACGAGUUGUCUGCAAGCUUCAUUAAGGUGUCUGUGAUGUGUCAAGUAAAAAUCAUACAACAGCUAGCACAGUACAUUAGAAGUGUUACAGCAGGAAGAAAAAUUAUGAAGUGGUCUGCCAAAAUGCUCAGCAGUUUUCAAGGGGCCCAUGGUGGGGUGAGGAGUUUGAGAACUACAGCUCUGAAGCACUCAAGGUAGCUACAUGGUUUUCUUUGCAUCAUUUUUAUACUCACAACAACAGUGUGAUGUCCCAAGGUCAUCCACAUGGCUGACCAUAAAGCUGAGCCCAGGCCCCUCCCUCAGUGAUGCCUUGAUGCUUCCAUACUCUUAGAUGGCUCAAGAGUUCACAGCACCCAAGGCAGAUUGUCCUUUGCUACCUCUCAACAAUACUCCACCUGGAAAUGAGACCAUCUGGCAGUGUGCUCUAAGAAUCUGUGGAAUGUGAGGGGGGAAAUCACACAUAAACAAUGAGUUUCCAGCACAGUGGAGGAUCCAGAACAUUUCUCUGUCACCUGCUGGGAUUUUAUCAAGGUCUUAUUGCUUCAGACCUUGAUGCUCAAUAUUCACUUUCUACAUCAGCCCAGGAAAUAUGGAUGUCUUCAUUUAUUUAUUUUCCCCAAUAAUUUUUAUUGUUUUUCAUUCAAAUACAAGAGCAACAUAUAACUACAAGAAUUUGCCCAGUGGUACAUUCUUAUUAGGUUUCAUAUGCUGUACGUAGUACACAAGCAAUAUGUUUAUUUCUUUAUUAUCCUUUCAAGUAGCCUCUCCACAAAGAUUCUUGUGUUGAGGGUGGAAUAAAAGUAUCUCCCAUCUCAUUUAUAAAGGAAAAGAAAGGGAGCCAAGACUCUAUCCAAAGUCGAAACAAAAUAAAAAAAAUUCCUUACAGUGGCACCUUAGAGACCAACUAAGUUUGUUAUUGGUAUGAGCUCUCGUGUGCAUUCAGGUAUCUGAAGAAAUGUGUAUGCACAUGAAAGCUCAUACCAUUAACAAACUUAGUUGGUCUCUAAGGUGCUACUGGACCUUAUUUUGUUUCGACUACGGCAGACCAACACGGCUACCUACCUGCAACUAGAUCUAUCCAAAGUGUCUGUCCUUGAAGUGCCUUUAAUUACCGUGUUCCAAUAGAGCCACAUUCCAAAUACUAUUUAACCAGACUUCAAUGGGGAGAUAUAUAGAUUGUAUCCAAUAUUGAGCUAUUGUUAAUUGGGCUGCUGAUAACAGAAAAAAUACUAAAUUUCUGCAUUUGAGGUUUUUGUUAGGGUCUAAUCACAACAAGUCAAGAGCACAAGUGCAUGGGAGGGGUUGCUACAUGAUUUUGGUAAUAAAGUGAAACACAUUUCCCCAAAGGUGUAUACCAUCAGUGAACGUAUCAAUUUUGUGCUUAGUAUUUCUGAUUUCCGCACCAAUAUCUGCAUCCACCCAUGAGUGAAAGGCAAGCACCUCUAUCUCCAUCGCAGAAAGUAGCAGCCCCAGGGCAAGCCUGGGCGAGUGCCCUGUUGAGGCAGAGGAGUUGGUGUCAGGCCCAUUUACUGUAAAAAAUGGUGUUAGACUGUAAGUAAAUUAGAUUAAUCAUAUUCAGGAAUUGCUUACCAAAUGGUAAUUUAGAUAAUAAAGAUUUUUAAAGGGCCAUUGAAUUCUGUCAAGACCUUGAAGGCAUCAAGGGGAAUUAAAACACCAAAGGAGUUUUGUGUGUAGAAACCAUGAAUCACAUGAAACGAUCUUCUCAUGGAAUCCACAAUAUUCCUAGAUGGAAUGAAACUGGUUUGGUCCGUUGAAAUAUAUUGACCAGUGAAAAUAUUAAUCCUUUUGAUCAUUACUGCUGUGAAAAGCUUUGCAUCAACAUUAGCAAGAGAAAUAGGUCCAUAUGAGUCCACCUUUGUUGCGUCUUUCUCCUCAUUUCAGCAAUAAGGGUCAAUUUUGAGGUUUGCCAAUUUAGAAGUUUAUCACUGGUGCACCAUUUUUAGUGCUAAGCAGAAAGUUUCCAUAUGAGGACUUUUCUCUCCAUUUUUUGGUGGGGGAACCAACUUGCAAAUUUCAAGGGUUGAAAUUAGUCCCAUGUUCCAUUAAUGAUGGCUUCUUGAUUGGCAGUGGCUGCUUUUCCUUUUUUAAAACAACAACAACAACUUUGAGUUUUAAAGUGGUAGAGCUCUUUGGUGGCCUUUUCCCCCUUUUGUGGGGGCAAACCUGGGAUCAUCUGAAGGCAGCUACAAGGGAUGAGAUUCGGAUAUAUAGAUUUAUAGGUAAUAUAUAUACUGCUACCCCAAUAGCCCUUAGUCCCCAAAUCUGCAAAUAAUCCCCGCUGCAAACACACCACAAAACCUUCACUGGUGAGGAUUUUCACUCAGCCCAAAAUUAAAUCCCAAGGCUGAGUUUGCAUGUGGCAUGGAAGUAGAAUUGUAGUUCAGCUUUCAUAAAUGUUUUACUCCUGCAAAAUCAGAGGGUAUCUUCUUCUUCUUUGGCAAUCAUUCGUAGCCGAGGAAAAUUGUCUUCCAUGAACGUGGUCUUAACAGUGAGUCUGUAAGUGACUGUGGAGGCCAAUUUUGGAUCCACACGUCCUUCUGCAUUGGGGCCAUAGGUUUCCAGGUGGGAGUUGAUCCUGGUAAUGGUUUGCCAAGUGUGCCUUCCUCUUAACACAUUUCUCCCUUUCAUCCUGAGUUUGAGGGUCUUCAAAGCUCAUGACGCCUUUGAUAAAGGCUGUUCUCCAGCUGGAGCGCUCAUAAGCCAGUGUUUCCCAAUUGUCAGUGUUUAUUCUGCAUUUUUUUAGAUUUGCCUUGAGAGAUCAUAUAGUGUCAAAUAGUGUCAGAAACUCCUCUUCGGAAAGUCAACUGAUCUUUGAGAGAUUGCUCCUGCAAGGGUCAGAGGGGACUUUUUCUCUCAGCUUGAAAUUUCUGCAAAUAGAUAUGGAGGGGUUGCUGUUGUUGUGUCAUGGCCCAAGCAGGUCCCCAGGGCAAGCUCACCCAUGAGACAGAGUGAUCAGCUGCCUCAGACGGUGGAAACACAAGAGGUGGCACACCUGUGGGUGCCCUGCUCUACCGCUACCAGAGAAGCAACUCAGGUAAGAGAGGCAGAGGCAGCAGCAAGGAGGGGGCCUUAUACUGCCCAGUUUUGCCAUCAGAAAGGAAGGGAGAUUUGGGAAGUUCAAAUGCUGACUGCAACAUUAUGAUGCUACAGCCCUCUGCUGCCAAGCAAGUUGCCAAAGCUUUGCAAGGGCUUUUUUUCCUUAAGAAGAAGCCCUUGCAAAGCCUCACCACUGGGCAGGAGGGAGAUACCCUUGCGUAAUUUGCGCCCCCCCCCCCAAAGCUUUGCAAGGGUUUUUUCUUGCACUUCAUGCCCACCCACCUCCCAAUCACAGGAGUGGCAGGGGGACGUUUCAUUUCCUGUGCCAAAAUGUCUAGGGCUGUCCCUGCACGUCCCCUUAAAAGGGGGCUCAGGCACCUGGGAGGCAGCAAGGAGCAACAGCUGCCUUCUUGGAGCAGCCAAGGAGUGUUUGAGCGUCUGAGAUCAAUGUUCCACCCGGCAUUCCUAAGUUACCACCAAAAGUUGCCUAAAGCAAAAUUCACAGCAAAUGUAGAGGCUCCUGGAAAACAACUGGACAAAAUUUGAGGAAAGUGAAGAGUUUGUGUAUUUUAUGCACCACAUAAAGUACAUUAAAAUAUAUGUACCAUGUUCCAAGAAGGUUUCAUUGGAUUUAUCUCAUUUUCACACCCAUAACAGCCCAAGACUGAGGUGGGUUUGACUGACAGAUAAUGACUGGCCUAUUGUGUUUUAAACAGAACUAGAUCCUUUCUGAUCUGACAAGCAGGUGCCAUUGUACCUUUUAGAGUUACAUUGCAUAUCCCUUUCAGCACAUUUCUUCAUAAAAUGAAACUGGAUCUUGAAGCGGAAGUUGAAAGUUGUGGGCCCAAAGCAGAUGGGUUUCUUAUGUUUGUUGCUAUAAAGAGAAAUAUCAAGACAAAUAUACCUAAUUGGUGGCUGGGUGAGUGAGUUCAAGAGGUACCAAAGCUGUUUUCUUCUCUCAGGGGAAAUGGGCUGUAUUUAGUUUAUUGCUUUUGGAGGGGUGUCAUCCGGAUAUGGCCAUUAUAGUGAAAUGAACUAACAGUGCAAUCACGUGCAUAUUUGCUUACGUUGGGAGUAAGACCCAUUGAACAUUGUGAGCCUUACUUUUGAGUAAACAUUCAUAGCAUUGCACCAUAAAUUUGUGAUCCUAUUUGUGCUCACUGGAGAGCAAUCCUAUUGAACUCAGUGGGAGUUCCUUCUAAGUAAACACUUCAAAGUUGGACUGGGCUGCAUAGCACACAAAAUUGAGAUCUAUGAGGAUGUGAGAUUGGCAUAUCAGUCAUAAACAUUUGCCACACACAUCUUCUGUGCAGCCGUGUCCUAGCUGAAACAGCAAUAUAAUAUCAUAUUUACGUUUUGGGCUUUUAUUUUGGUGGUGUUGGCAUGGCUGGUGUCCUACCCCAUCACAUGCCUAUUUGCCAGUGUGCAAAGAACCUUUUUGAUAACUGCCUGAUCCCAUGCAAAGACAUCAUCACCAUCUGAUCAAGGUGGCCCAUGGAUUAAUCUCACUCUCAGAAACAGGCUUAACAGAAAGACGCAAGGUAUGUUCUGUGUCAGUAAUUUCAAUUCUCAGUACAAUGCUGCCUGAGAGGACAUUGCUUCCACACUAUGGGUCCAGUUCCCAAAUACCUUUUGGGGCACAUUGAUUUCUGGGAGAGAUCUAACAUUCAAGUUCCAGAAUGGUCUGAGGACAUUGGUAGGUCUUGGAGCCUGCGACAUGCUGUAUAAACAAUGUUGUCAUUUACCUCAUGCCAUAGUCCAGUGGGAAGUUCUUUCACAAGCCUCCCUGAAGGCAAUGGGGGCUUUCCUUGUAGUGAGUGUGGUUUGCCAGAUCUGUUUUAGGGAGGUCACAGCUAUUACACGGUUUAAAUAUGUGUUGUCAUUGCUGUAUACCACCCUGUUCUUAUAGGAGCUGGUGUAUAAAUAAAGUACCUCUAGAAAUAAAGAAAUAGCAUUGACCACAGUAAUCUCUUGGGCCUUCUGCAUGAUUUGGGUGUUCGGGGCCUUGUUUUAGGGAGGUUUCCCUCCCACUUAUAGGGUCGGUUCCUGCCCUCUAGCAGUUGAUCUGUGCAUCGCUAGAGGACAUGAUUUAGUUUUCUAAAUGCUGUUUAAUAGCUACAUGAAGCCACUGGAGGCAGUCAGAAGAUUUGGGGCAGGGUGUAAUCAGUAUGCCAAUGAUAUUUCACUCUGUUUCUCUAUAAGUUCUGAUUCGGGAGAGGCCUAGAUGCAAUCAUGAACUUGUUGUUGUUGUCGUUUAGUCGUGUCCGACUCUUCGUGACCCCAUGGACCAGAGUACGCCAGGCACUCCUGUCUUCCACUGCCUCCCACAGUUUGGUCAAACUCAUGUUCGUAGCUUUGAGAACACUGUCCAACCACCUCGUCCUCUGUCGUCCCCUUCUCCUUGUGCCCUCCAUCUUUCCCAACAUCAGGGUCUUUUCCAGGGAGUCUUCUCUUCUCAUGAGGUGGCCAAAGUAUUGGAGCCUCAGCUUCAGGAUCUGUCCUUCCAGUGACCACUCAGGGCUGAUUUCCUUCAGAAUGGAUAGGUUUGAUUUUCUUGCAGUCCAUGGGACUCUCAAGAGUCUCCUCCAGCACCAUAAUUCAAAAGCAUCAAUUAUUCAGCGAUCAGCCUUCUUUAUGAUCCAGCUCUCACUUCCAUACAUCACUACUGGGAAAACCAUAGCUUUAACUAUACGGGCCUUUGUUGGCAAGGUGAUGUAUCUGCUUUUUAAGAUGCUGUCUCGGUUUGUCAUCACUUUUCUCCCAAGAAGUAGGCGUCUUUUAAUUUCGUGACUGCUGUCACCAUCUGCAGUGAUCAUGAAGCCCAAGAAAGUAAAAUCUCUCACUGUCUCACUUUCUCCAUUUCUUCCCCUUCUAUUUGCCAGGAGGUGAUGGGACCAGUGGCCAUGAUCUUUGUUUUUUGGAUGUUGAGCUUCAGACCAUAUUUUGCGCUCUCCUCUUUCACCCUCAUUAAAAGGUUCUUUAAUUCCUUCUCACUUUCUGCCAUCAAGGUUCUGUCAUCUGCAUAUCUGAGGUUGUUGAUAUUUCUUCUGGCAAUCUUAAUUCCGGCUUGGGAUUCAUCCAGCCCAGCCUUUCGCAUGAUGAAUUCUGCAUAUAAGUUAAAUAAGCAGGGAGACAAUAUACAGCCUUGUCGUAUUCCUUUCCCAAUUUUGAACCAAUCAGUUGUUCCAUAUCCUGUUCUAACUGUAGCUUCUUGUCCCACAUAGAGAUUUCUCAGGAGACAGAUGAGGUGAUCAGGCACUCCCAUUUCUUUAAGAACUUGCCAUAGUUUGCUGUGGUCGACACAGUCAAAGGCUUUUGCAUAGUCAAUGAAGCAGAAGUAGAUGUCUUUCUGGAACUCUCUAGCUUUCUCCAUAAUCCAGCGCAUGUUUGCAAUUUGGUCUCUGGCUUCUCUGCCCCUUCGAAAUCCAUCUUGCACUUCUGGGAGUUCUCAGUCCACAUACUGCUUAAGCCUGCCUUGUAGAAUUUUAAGCAUAACCUUGCUAGCGUGUGAAAUGAGUGAAAUUGUGCGGUAGUUGGAGCAUUCUUUGGCACUGCCCUUCUUUGGGAUUGGGAUGUAGAUUGAUCUUCUCCAAUCCUCUGGCCACUGCUGAGUUUUCCAAACUUGCUGGCAUAUUGAGUGUAGCACCUUAACAGCAUCAUCUUUUAAAAUUUUAAAUAGUUCAGCUGGAAUAUCAUCACUUCCACUGGCCUUGUUAUUAGCAGUGCUUUCUAAGGCCCAUUUGACUUCACUCUCCAGGAUGUCUGGCUCAAGGUCAGCAACCACACUACCUGGGGUGUACGAGCCAUCCAUAUCUUUCUGGUAUAAUUCCUCUGUGUAUUCUUGCCACCUCUUCUUGAUGUCUUCUGCUUCUGUAAGGUCCUUACCACUUUUGUCCUUUAUCAUGGUAAUCUUUGUGCGAAAUGUUCCUUUCAUAUCUCCAAUUUUCUUGAACAGAUCUCUGGUUCUUCCCAUUCUAUUCUCUUCCUCUAUUUCAUGAACUUGGUGAGCCCAGAAUAACUAAGGAGAUAGUACAAGAAUACUUGGCUAGUUUAGAUGUAUUCAAGUCUCCAGGGCCAGAUGAACUGCAUCCAAGAGUAUUAAAAGAACUGGCAGAUGUGAUCUCAGAACCACUGGCAGUCAUCUUCGAGAAUUCCUGGAGAACAGGCGAAGUCCCGGCAGACUGGAGGAGGGCAAAUGUUGUCCCUAUUUUCAAAAAGGGGGAAAGAGAGGACCCAAAUAAUUACCGCCCAGUCAGUCUGACAUCAAUACCAGGGAAGAUUCUGGAGCAGAUCAUUAAGCAAACAGUCUGUGAGCACCUAGAAAGGAAUGCUGUGAUCACCAAUAGUCAGCAUGGAUUUCUGAAAAAUAAGUCAUGUCAAACUAACCUGAUCUCGUUUUUUGACAGAAUUACAAGCCUGGUAGAUGAAGGGAACGCAGUGGAUGUAGCCUACCUUGAUUUCAGCAAGGCAUUUGACAAGGUGCCCCAUGAUAUUCUUGUAAAGAAGCUGGUAAAAUGCGGUCUUGACUAUGCUACCACUCAGUGGAUUUGUAACUGGCUGACUGACCGAAGCCAAAGGGUGUUCAUCAAUGGUUCCUCUUCAUCCUGGAGAAGAGUGACUAGUGGGGUGCCACAGGGUUCUGUCUUGGGCCCGGUCUUAUUCAACAUCUUUAUCAACGACUUGGAUGAUGGACUCAAGGGCAUCCUGAUCAAAUUUGCAGAUGACACCAAACUGGGAGGGUGGCUAACACCCCAGAGGACAGGAUCACACUUCAAAAUGACCUUGACAGAUUAGAGAACUGGGCCAAAACAAACAAGAUGAAUUUUAACAGGGAGAAAUGUAAAGUAUUGCACUUGGGGAAAAAAAAUGAGAGGCACAAAUACACCUGGCUUGAGAGCAGUACAUGUGAAAAGGAUCUAGGAGUCUUGGUUGACCACAAACUUGACAUGAGUCAACAGUGUGACGCGGCAGCUAAAAAAGCCAAUGCAAUUCUGGGCUGCGUCAAUAGGAGUAUAGCAUCUAGAUCAAGGGAAGUAAUAGUGCCACUGUAUUCUGCUCUGGUCAGACCUCACCUGGAGUACUGUGUCCAGUUCUGGGCACCACAGUUCAAGAAGGACACUGACAAACUGGAACGUGUCCAGAGGAGGGCAACCAAAAUGGUCAAAGGCCUGGAAAAGAUGCCUUAUGAGGAACGGCUAAGGGAGCUGGGCAUGUUUAGCCUGGAGAAGAGGAGGUUAAGGGGUGAUAUGAUAGCCAUGUUCAAAUAUAUAAAAGGAUGUCACAUAGAGGAGGGAGAAAGGUUGUUUUCUGCUGCUCCAGAGAAGCGGACAAGGAGCAAUGGAUCCAAACUACAAGAAAGAAGAUUCCACCUAAACAUUAGGAAGAACUUCCUGACAGUAAGAGCUGUUCAACAGUGGAAUUGGCUGCCAAGGAGUGUGGUGGAGUCUCCUUCUUUGGAGGUCUUUAAGCAGAGGCUUGACAACCAUAUGUCAGGAGUGCUCUGAUGGUGUUUCCUGCUUGGCAGGGGGUUGGACUCGAUGGCCCUUGGGGUCUCUUCCAACUCUAUGAUUCUAUGAUUGAAUUCUGACGAGAUGCAAAGCCUAGAGAUGGGGGCUCCACAGGUUCAGGAACUGGAAUGUAGCAGGAAUGGAUGGGGCUACACCCCCUGGGGCCAGUAUAGUUGGGAGGGGAUCUCUCCAGCAUGAAGGAUGGGAAGUGCCUAUAAAUGUUCAGAUACUUCGGUUAGUCAUCUUACUCCAAACCAUAGCUGUCAACGUUUCCCUUUUUUUAAGGGAAAUUCCCUUAUUCCGAAUAGGAUUCCUUGCAAGAAAAGGGAAAAGUUGACAGCUAUGCUCCAAACACUGAAUUGGACAGAAAACCCAAUAGAAUCCUAACCUAGUGCCAAAAAAUAGCACAUUACUUUUGCAGAUCGAUGUUUGUUCCCUGUCUUCCAAGCAAGCUAGAGCCCAUAUUAUUCUAAGCACCCUUUAAAUUUAAUAAAAAAAUGACAGUGCAUGGUUGUUUACAAAGAUCUAAUUAGCACAUUUACCUAAACAGGCUCUCAUGCUUUAAAAUAUUAAAAUUAAAAUGCAAAUUGUAAUGCUUGCAUGCAAAUUAAGAGGAAAUAAUUUCUACUUAACUGCCUGGAGGCACUUGUAACCUCCUUCCAACUAUCUUUCACCCUCCCCCUUUGGCUUGGCUGAAAAACAUAUUGAAUAAAGAUGACAUUACUGUCAAACAAGCUCCCUGUUUACUGAUGAGGCAUAUUCCACUCCUGCGUACAUAUUUCAUCAUCAAAGCAUGAGAUAAUUAAGACAUUUUAAUAGGUGAAGAGCAUCUGCUUAUGAGUCUGCAGAGAAAUCUCUGCCACACAGACUGCAAAGUUUCUCUUCUCUCACCACCCGGCACUCGGUGAUUUGCCAGGUUUCCAGCAAUGCCACGGUUGGGCAACGGAUGCUCCGUUGGGCUUGAGCAGCAGUUGUACAGCAUAUGCAGCGGUGACACAGGCAUGCCUAAGGGUGGUGGGAUAAGAGAAACCCAAACCACGCACAGCAUCUCACCAAGACCCAGCACCAGUCUUGUUCCUCAGGCCACUCACAGGAUCCAGAAGCCCAUCCUAAGGACCUAAGAAUGGCCUGCUGGAUCAGGCCAAUGGCCUCUUCCCACCAUGGCCAGCUGAUGCCUGUGGGAAACAGCAAGCAGAACAGGAGCACAAGAGAACUCUCCUGUGGUUUGCAGAAGAGAGAUAGGAAAACCUUCUGCAGGCCACACAUAAUUGUAUAAACUUCCUUCCUGUUGCCUCCUACUUCCAUUUUCUCUAAAUUGCUCUAAAUGCUGCAACCUGUCUUCAUAGAGGAGCCACUGCAUCCCCUCGACCAUUUUCGUUUCCUUUUUCUGAACCUUUUCCAACUCUACAACAUCCUUUUUGAGGUGAGAUGACCAGAACUGUGUUCUCUGCCACUGUCCCUUCAACAGGGCCUCCACCAGUAUCAUAGAAUUGUAGAGUUGUAAGGGAAUGGAAGGUCAUCUCGUCCAACCCCCUGCAAUGCAGGUAUUUCAGCUAGAGCAUCCAGGACAGGAAACUAUCCAUCCUCUGCUUAAAAACCUCCAAGGAAGGAAAGUCCAACAUCUCCCACAGGAGUCUAUUUCACUGACGAAAAGCUCUUACCAUCAAAAAACUCUUCCUGAUGUUUAGUUGGAAACUCCUUUCUUAACUUGAAGUCAUUGGUUCCAGUCCUACCCCGCAGAGCAGAAGAAAAGAAGCUUGUUCUCUCUUCCAUGUGAUAACCCUUGAGAUAUUUGAAGAUGGCUCUCAUAUCUCCUCUCAGUCACCUCUUUUCUAGGAUAAACAUACCCAACUCCCUCUGACCAAGGCAGAAUAGAGCCUUACUAUAACUUCCCUUGAUCAGGACAAUAUACUUCUGUUGAUGCAGCCUAGAAUGGCAUUAGGGUUUUUUGCGGCUGCAUCACUCUGUUGACUCAUGUUAAGCUUGUGGUCUACUAAGACCCCUACAUCCUUUUCACAUGUACUACUAGCAAGCCAGGUGUCCCCCACCUUAUAUUUGUGCAGGUAGCUAUUCCUUCCCAAAUGUAGAACCUAACAUUUGUCCCUACUGAAAUUCAUUUUGUUAUUUUGGACACAGUUCUCUAUUCUGUUAAAGUUCUAUCUUCAGUAGCAUUGGAUACUCCUCCCAGUCUGGUGUCAUCUGCAAAUUGGACGAGUAUACUAAACAGUUAUCACCUGAUACCUCGUGAAGCACUAGAUGAGUUUGCUUCAUCUGCUGUUUGCUCGUUCUGCUUGUCCCUUAGUACAUCCAAGCAGUGCGUGACAUUGAUGAGAAGGGUUGGAAGAACCAGAGGCAAACCCAUUCUUCUCACAUGAUAUUACUUAGCAUUUUAAAGUAAUUUAUAUUUUAUGUUGAUAUAAUGAUGCCGAAAGCAUGUAAAAGUGCAAGCAGAUAAAUAGGUACCGCUCUGGCGGGAAGGUAAACGGCGUUUCCAUGCGCUGCUCUGGUUCGCCAGAAGCGGCUUUGUCAUGCUGGCCACAUGACCCAGAAGCUGUACGCCGGCUCCCUCGGCCAAUAAAGCGAGAUGAGUGCCGCAACCCCAGAGUCGUCCGUGACUGGACCUUACGGUCAGGGGUACCUUUACCUUUAAUGAUGCCGAAUCCAGAUACGGAGUUGGGCUUCAAAGGCACCAGCUAAGGAGCCAGAUCAAGUGCAGGACUCUGAGGUGGCUGUUGGAGAUCAGGAGACCACUGUGUGUGACACUGUUGGACAGGAACCCCCCAGAAGAACCUCCUGGACCACCACAGGCUUUACCCUCAUGGGCACCUUCCCCUGAGGAACCCACGGCACAUUAUGUCAGCAGUACAGGGAGGAGAUUGGCCCUUUAAAGCUCUGAAGUUCUCCACAAAGGAGUGGAAGAGGUAGUUUGAAGACAGGGGCUUACAAGGCCUCCGCCUGCUCCAAACCUUCAGUGGAGUUAAGUUGCUCACUUGGAGCUGUCCAUGGGUGUGCAACUUGUAACCAAUGCAGUCUUACCUCUUUCUCUGUGGGAUCCAGCAUUGGAUCAGAACAUGACAGUUGAGCAACCAUUUGGUUUUUCUACCCACUAUAUUGCCAAGCUGUAAGGGCCCUCCCCAUAGUAUAAAGCAUGUUAAAAUGCUUUUGAAACAAGUUUUAAAACAACCCUUUUGAUUUUAGCAGCUAGGAGACAAAUGAUCCUUUAAAGAUAUUAAGCUGUGGAACUGGCAUAAAUAACCUAGCUCCAAACUUGCUUCAUGUUUGUUCUGUGUGAUCUGGGUCCCACCUGUGGGCUUGCUGUCUAAUUGCCUCACUUGUUUGGCCUUAGGCUGAAGUACACCAGGGCUCAUUAUUUUAAUUGGUCAUUAAAAAAAAAUCUUCUUCACAGUUGCCAGUAACAGUUUAUUUGUUUAUUAGUAUCAUAAAUUUUAACCUCUUCAAAGUACAGCAUUAUGCUAGAAGUAAUGAUCUGUGGCAUUCUGAAUAUCAUUUGCAUCUUCAUCCAAGGCCAGUCCUGGAACUCAGUCAUGGGCCCUGAUGAUGUACACGGCUUGCUUGAUACUUGCUUCUGUCAUGAACAUGACUGAAGGUUCAUUCUUUUGCACAGUGUAUAUGCAGAGUUUAUUCAUGGGAAUAGGUUAUGUGUUGAUUUGUUUAUGUUGGCGGUGUGAAAAGUUGGAGAGGUUGGCAGUUCAAAGAUCAUUAUCCCCACCCAACCUCACAAUGCCUAUUGCCUUACACCAAAUGUAACUGACCUGUUGAAAGGACUCAGUGAAUUGAAAGCAGAGGUGUUAUAUGUACCUUUGUUAUCCAUGAAAGUCUUUACUAUUUAAAAAAACAAAGCAUGACUGCAGUUUUAGGGUGGUCUGGUACGCACAACACAGCAAGCCAAACUAUGGCUUACUGGGACCAUACAAUUGUGUGACCUCGUUGCCCCUCCCUGGUCUUUUUUGCUGCGCUAACUUAGCAUGUCAUCCAAAUGGGGAACCAUGGAUAUGUUCUCUCCUUGCUAACCAUGAGCUGUAGCCAAGCUUUGCCUGGCCUCUGGCCUUCCAGAUGCUGCUGGAUGACAACUCUCACCACCCCUGAUCAUAAGCCAAGCUAGUUGGGGCUGAUUAGAGGAGGAGUUUAACAUCACCUAAUGGGCCCCAGGUCCCCCACCCUUGCCUUGGCAUGUGGAGGUUUUCAGAUGUGAUUUUAGAAAUGGUAGUUUAAGCCCACCCUUUUCUAUUGUCUCUUUAUAGACUUGUGCAGGCAGAGAAGCAUGGCAAGGAGGAAUGGGCAGAGCGAUGUAAACCACUAGGUUACGGUAAAUAUGGUCUCCACACCUUUAGCAGAAACCUAAUAAUCACCAUGGUUAAUACAGUGAGCUGCAAGUCCCUAGCACAAAUCUCAGCCUAGUAAGGAACUCCAUGGCUUUUGGCCAGCUGCUCUCUCUCAUUCCAGGGGUGAUAACAGGGAUGGUGAUAUUAUUAUUAUUAUUAUUAUUAUUAUUAUUAUUAUUAUUAUUAUGUUUACCAGUUCUCAGGGUUGCUAUAUUACUGGGAUAGUAUAUGUGUGCCAAUCUGCAAAUGUUAUUAAACUUGAAGAGAUUUUUACCCCUCAUUCAUUUUUUUUACAUUUAAGACAGCUGUUGAAAGUCAAAUCUUUACUUGGGAGAGAGUGUGGAGAGCAUCCAUACAAGACUGCAACCCUCUUGAUUUCAAACAAUCCAGAUGGGUGGCCCCUGGCUCACACAAGGAACUAAGGAGUAUACCUGAUGUUUAAUCGCCCUUUCGUUCAUGUAGAUACAUGAGCCUAGAUUAUUGAAACAGUCAGUCAGGUUGUGUAUCCAUAGCAAUGACCAGAGGAGAAAUGACAGCCAGAAUGAGCACAGAGAGAAGUGAUGCCACGGUGCACCAGGGAAACGGAUGCCUUCAUCUGCACCACCUGCAAUAAAACAUGUCUUUUCCAUUUUGGUCUCUACAGCCACAGCAGGUGCCAUAACUCUCCAGCGGUUUGACCCUGAUGAUGUGCUCUCCCAUUUUUGCUCAAGACAGACAAUAGCAGCUUUACACAUGGCAAUAUUACUUCCAGAUGAUGACUUGCCUCAUCACCCCAGCCAUAAAAUGCAAAACAAGUAACAGAAUCAUAUAAUUGUAGAGUUGAAAGGGACCCCCAGGGUCAUCCAGUCCAACCCCCUGCAAUGCAGGAAUCUCAACUAGACGGAUGGCCAUCCAACUUCUGCUUUCAAACCUCCAAGGAAGGAGAGUCCCGCGUGUCCCACAGGAGUCCCUUCCACUGUCCAACAGCUCUUGCUAUCAAAAAGUUCUUCCUGGUGUUGAGCCGUAUUCUCCUUUCUUGUAACUUGAAGCCAUUGGUUCCAGUCCUACUCUCCAGUAUCUUGUUCCCUCAUCCAUGUGACAACCCUUGAGAUAUUUGAAGAUGGCCAUCGUAUCUCCACUCAGUCUCCUCUUUUCCAGGCUAAACAUACCCAGUUCCUUCAACAGCUCCUCAUAAGGCUUAGUUUCCAGACCCUCGGUUGCCCUCCUCUGCACACGUUCUAGCUUGUCAAUAUCCUUCUUAAAUUAUGGUGCCCAAAAUUGGACACAGUAUUCCAGGUGCAGUCUGACCAAGGCAAGAAUUGCAGACUCCAUGUUAUAGCCAUGAUAGGUGCAAAUCACUAUAUGGGGAAGCUUGGUUCCAGUGUAUGACAAACAGAACAUGCAGUCUGCUAAUGAAUCAAAGAUUGCAUGACAUUCCCUGAUAGAAAGAAAAAUGGGUCCCCAUUGCAUCUGUGGAUCAUCACGAACACAGAAUAUGCCAUAGGCUUUUAGGUAAUGCUUGCACAGCUUUAUUGGCAAUGGCCAGCUUAACCUUAACAAAGACAAGAGUGCUGGCUACAUGGGAAAGAUUAUGAAUUUAUAACAUAUUCUAACCUUUACUGCAGAGGUUCAAGAAAACAACUAUCACUGGUGUCUGACAAAAAUAUUGAUAUUCCCUAGUUAUUUUAAUCAAUGAAGCAGAAUCCUCAUUGCUAACUAAUGUUCAUAAUGAAGCUUUUAAAAUACAAUUAACAAAUGAUAAUGACUUAACUGUCAAUUGAAUGGUUCACCCACAAGCUGUUACUCCAAUAAAAGAUCAGAAACACACGGAACAAAAUCUAUAUUUUAUUGGUCUUUCUUUCAUUCUUUCUUUCUGCAAACCUAUUUAUAGCAUCUGUAGUGUCACUUGCUGCUAUUAUAAGAUUUUAAGUUACGGUAAACAUUUGUUUUGUAGGACACAGCUGGACCAUGUUCUUAUUUUCAGGACAAUUUAUUUCCUGGGGGGGGGAGUCACUGUUCCAAAAAAUAUUAACUUCAGAAACAUUUUGCCAUGCUUUCCAGAUUGCUCUAGAAGCAGAACCCCUACUAUUCUUUAUUCAUUUCCAUGUCAACUCUCUAUCCUGCUUUUCUGUCUUAUUAAUCAGGGCCAGUGCUAGUCUAAUGAAAACGUUGUAUGACUGCAAUAUAAUCAAUUUGAAGAUUUUUUUCCUCAUCCAACAUAUUAUAGUAACACUGCAUUCUAAAAAAUUGGUUCACUAUUUAAUAUUGAAUUCACAGUCUUGUUUCUUUAUUAAAACUUGUUCUACCAAAUUUUAUCCAAGUUUAGUCUCAACAUGAGAAGUGUCCUAAAUAGUAGCCAAUGUUGAAAAUGUUGGAUUUGUGUGUUCCUGAGUGUUCCAUGGAGCUUUUCUGUUAAUUUUUUUAAAAUGUAUUUUUCUCAUAGACACAGAGUGUGUUGGCUUCCUUGGCUAUAGUAAUCCUGUAUGCUUUAGUUAAUAAGGCUACAGCUGAGCUAAGUAACCAGGUUUUUGGAUGUGGUAAAGAGCAUCUUAAAGAAAGAAAAGGGCACUCAGAGCCAAGCAAUUUUGAUUUUCAGCACCAUUUGUAAUUCAGUUAUAAAUGAACUCAUUCAAGAGAACAAAGAUAUUUUUUAUCUUUAUUUUGUUCUGCCUUUAUCAUAAAAGAGCAUAAGCUUCAGAGAAUCGCUUUGGCAAGCACUGAAUGAUGCAUAAAAUGAAAAUUUCUUAUCCUGUGCAUGCAGCAAGUCAGAAAUAUCACAACUGUGCUCUGGUGCUCCUUUAAGUGGGUGUCUUUGCGGCGAUACAUUAUAUUGACCUCAUAGGAAGCCCGAAACAUCUCUGUAGAUGAAAAGAAUUACCAAACAUGGCAGAGUCUCCAUCUGCCUUCUCCAAACACGGUUUUCUCUAACUCAGUUAAUAAUAUCAAUAAUUUCAUUGCCCUCAUUUCCCCCAGUUGACCACCCCAAAUAAAAAGUUUUAUGUGAGCAAUUCACUGGUUAAUCAUGCUAUUACUCUCAUUUUCCUCAUUUAUUCCAGACAGUUUCAUUUUAGAAGUCUACUGAAUACAAUCAUUCUUUUUUUAAAAAUGCAGACAUUCUUAAAUUUUGUUUUGUGUACUGAAACAUUCCUAUCCAACCUUACUGUUUUAACCCCACCUCAAAAGCUGACAUAGCAGUGAAAAUUAAACACAGAUGGGAUCCAACGAAAAAGGUAAUCCUUAAGGGGUUUCCCCACUCUUGCAAUAUUUAAUUUCUUUACAAAUAUAAAAGCAGAGCACAAAUGGAAGUAAAAAGCAAAGCACACUUAUUUCCAGAUCUUCAGGGGGAGGCACCCUUUCUUUCCCCAAAUGUUUUUGCUUGCAAUCCGUUGAUUCCCUCAGAGGUAGCUAAUCUGUGGCCUUCAAAAAUGAUAUUGGGCUCCAGUUCUCUUCAUCCCUGUCCAUUGGUUUUGCUGGCUGGGCCUGAUGGGAGUUGGAGUUCAACAAUAUUUGAGGGCUAGAGGUUAGCCACCCCUCCUUUAUACACACCCUGAGCUAAUUCAGGGUUUUUUUCUGUCAGGAGGAAGAGGUCUUCUUCAUCUUUGGGCCCUGCCUUGAUUUUUCAACUCUCCAGGUUUGGCUUGGAGUCUCCAGGAACCAUCCUGAUUCCUUCACCCCACCAAGUUGAUAGGUAUUGUCAAUCAAAUGGUGUGUGUGCCCCAUGUCUUGUGACUGAUUGUGCAGGGCGGGGCUUACCUAUCCCCCCCCCCAUAUUUUAUUCAAGUUGGCAGCCUGCCUGAGGCCAAUUUUGGACUGAGCAAUGGUGUUGUGAAGGCCAAGCUGCAGGUGCAACUAAACAUUGACAUGACCUCUGCAGAGUUCCUCAGCUUCUUAAAGAAGAACACAGAUCUGCUAAAAACAGCAAGAGAUAAGCUUAAAUACAAAUUUAAAAGGAAGGAAGCUGGGGGCAAGCCAAUGCAGCUUUAAAGUAAAACCAUCACAUUUAAUAGCAAGUCUUUCAGUAUGAAGGUGUCGUGCUAGCUGCCAAGCAGCAGGGAGAAAGGAUGCAAGAAGCUUUGGUUACAGAAAUGAUCUCAGAGUGUGAGUAGUUGUCUGGUGAGACCCACCAUUAUUCCUGGGGUUAACUGUUUAAAGGGGAAUUAAAGGUGUGGCAUUGGGUCUGUGAAUUCUAACCAGCAUUUAGAGGUUGCCCAAAAUUUCAGCCAGCACUGGCAACCCUAGCUCUGCCAUCUUUCGCCUUCUCUAGAAGGUGCCUCCGCUAUUUCCUAGCCAUUCUAAGGCAUUUGUAUGUUGUGGAUAUGAGCAUGCCUGGCCACUGACCAUCAUGGGACUGGAGGGGUCUUCCGAGCUCCCUUACCCCUCUUCUGUCCAGACUAUAGUAAGUCUAUAAGCAUGAUAAAUGGAAAAGGUUUGCAAGAGUAACAAACCUUAUAAAAACUGUGUCUGGGCCCAGCAGGAAGGAUUUCAUUCAUACUGCCCCCAUUAAUUAACCAGAGUUGCUAAACAGGAAAGUGUCUGUAUAUUUUCAGUUUUAUGGAUACUAGCUUGACUUUAUAUUACCAUUAAGUUUCAAACACAAUUUAAUAAAUGUUUGAUGGUUCUUCAGGGCUAAUGGAUUAUAUAAACCUACACCUGAUUACAUUAUAGCUAUUUCAUGAAGUCUCCUUCAAAUGGUUCUCAUUCAGAAAAUGGUGACAAGCAAACUGUUAUUGGCUGACUAAGCAAAGGCCAAGUACAGAGAGAAAAUAAGUAAUUUCGGAUUAUUGGUAUCUGUGUAAAGCAUCUUUUAUGAAAUUUACUUUAAUUUUUAAUACUUCUCACCUGGUGCAGGAUAUUUGGCUUGUAAAUGGGUGUUACAGAUGAUCAAGGCAAACAGCAAGAAACAUAAAAGUGCAUUUUGGAACAAUAAAACUUCCAGGGUCAAAGAGGAGUCAUGUAGCACAAAUGCUCUGUGAAGUUGUGUCCCACUAUAAUCACCAGCUAACAAUUCUCGUAGUAAUUGUAGUGCAAUGCCAUUGCUAUACAUUGUAAUGGCCAUUUGUUACUUACAUUCUGACAAUGAAAACACACACAAGUACUAAGGAUGAAAAGAGAGACAAUAAUAAUUAGUGUCGGUAAAGGUAAUGGAACCCCUGACCAUUAGGUCCAGUCACAGACAACUCUGGGGUUGCGGCGUUCAUCUCGCUUUAUUGGCCGAGGGAGCCGGGGUAUAGCUUCCGGGUCAUGUGGCCAGCGUGACUAAGCCGCUUCUGGCGAACCAGAGCAGCACAUGGAAACGCCGUUUACCUUCCCGCCAGAGCGGUACCUAUUUAUCCACUUGCACUUUGACAACUGCUAGGUUGGCAGGAGCAGGGAUCAAGCAACGGGAACUCACCCCGUCGCAGGGAUUCGAACCACCAACCUUCUGUUUGGCAAGUCCUAGGCUCUGUGGUUUAACCCACAGCACCACCCGCGUCCCUCUAAUUAGUGUCAGUACACCAGUGCUAUUUUUCUAGAAAAAGAAGUGCUGGAACUCACCAUGACGCCCACCUGAAAAGUGCUGGAGCUGAGUUCUGGCUGAAAAAAGCCCUGAAAAUUUAUAUCAAAACACUAAGCUUAUCUGAUCCAUAGAAUCAUAGAGUUGGAAGAGACCACAAGGGCCAUCGAGUCCAACCCCCUGCCAAGCAGGAAACACCAUCAGAGCACUCCUGACAUAUGGUUUAUUUAGUAUAUGGUUUAUACUAUAUAACAUAUGGUUUAUCCAGUUUAUACUAUUACCUUACUAUAUAUAUCUAUAUAUAUAUAUAUAUAUAACAACAUAAACACCAGUUACAAAAUUUCUCUGCUCCAUAAGGCAUGUGAUGAUGCAGUGCCCAUGUCUUUUCCUAGUGAGAUCCUCUAGCUCUAGUAGAAAAUCUCCUUCAUCCAGGAACAAACUGCAGCUGUUGCCUUUCACCCUGUUCUGCUCCUUUGCAGCAGGUGUCCUAAUUGUUUAUCCCCAAUUUUCCAUUGAUCCACCCAAUUGCGCUCUCUCAUCUGCGCUUCUCUUUAAAGUCCUGUUUUUGCAUCCUGCUCUCUCCCUGGCUGGAGGGCAAGGGAUUACAUCAUCACCCUGACCAGAAACAUUAAAAAAAGAAAAGAAAUCUUUAUCUAGGAUUCUAAUGGCUAUCCAGGUGCAAGAGAGAAUUCAUUUGUGGAAUAUGUUGGCAAUUUCCAUCACCUAUUUGUAGUUUCCACCAUCUGGUAAUUAGAGGCACACUGUACAGCCAUGCAAAUGCACAUACAGUACAUUCCUAAUCUACUAACCUACAUUAUUAAAAAUUCUCUCACUACCCAGAGUGGAAGAAGUUAAUGAAGGGAUAAGAAGCUGAAUUUUAGGAGAUUAAAAUGCUGUUAAUUUCCAUAUGCACUUAAGAUUAAUAAACUACUAAUUAGGCUAUGCAAAUGAGGACUUUCUGAAUUCCAUCACAAACAUUCAUUUGGUACCUUAUCCAUAAAUCACACUCUGUUAAUGUAUUUUGUUAUGUAAUUGGGGAAUAACAGAUUGAUGAGCCAGUCCAAUUAGGUCUAAUUUACAUGUGUAUGAAAUUUGUUAAUAAAGUAUUACGAAUCUAAUAUUCAAGUAAGAGGAAACUAAUUAUAACAUGUACUUGCCUUACUUUGAAAGAAAAUUAUCUUUAAAAAAUGACUGCUACAUGGCUGAACAAGAAGCAGGAACACAAAAAUAGUCUAGAAUUUUAAAAGUUGCUAAAAGUAUAUUAUGCAUAAACUAAAAAAAUCCCCCACACGGCCCCAGAAUGACAGAACACUUAGUCUAUCACAGAUAAAUAAAAUAGCAGCCACCAUAAGCAGUCACAGAGAAUACCUUUAUGCAAAAAUAUCUGGUAUGGUUGUCAAAAUCCUAAGGGCUAAUAAUUUUAACUAUCUGAAAAAAAUGAAUAAAGUUUUAUUUUAUUCAUUAUUUUAUUCAUACACACACAAAAAUAAAAUUACUAAAACUAACUUAAAUACAGAAAGUAUAAAUAAUACCAAUACAGAAACCACCCAGAAAUUGAUACAAGAACCUGUUUUGAUAUGGCAAACUGUGGAGGAAAUUAGGGAAAAAGCAGUUGCUGCUGAAGGUAAAGUAACACAACUGGAGAGAAAGAGAAAGAGAGCCCCAGCCCUAUAGAGGCAAUUUGAUGAACAUAAGUUAACGCUUCCUACGACUGAACUUAAAGAAAAACAGACGAAUUUGAGGAUUAGAGUUCACCUUUGGUGGACAUGCCCAAGGAUUAAGACACUCUGGGAGAUGAUUCAUAACGAAAUGAAAAAGGUAUUUAAAUAUACCCUUUUGAAGAAACCAGAGGCCUUUCUCCUGGGCAUGGUCGGCCAAUUGGUGUUAAAGAAGGAUAGAAUUUUUUUCAUGUAUGCAACAAUAGCAGCAAGAAUACUCAUUGUGAAGUACUGGAAGACAUAAGAUUUAUCCAUUCGGGAAGAAUGGCAGAUGAAGUUGAUGGACUAUAUGGAAUUGGCGGAAACGACUGGCACAAUCCGAGACCAGGGAGAAGAGUCGGUGGAAGAAGACUGGAAAAAGUUUAAGACUGUUUAUAGAAAUACUGUAAAAUAAUGAAUGUUAGAAAAAGGUUGGAAUGAAGUUAUAUGGCUUUAGUAGAAAUGUUAUAAGGAAUCAAGUAUAAAUAGAUUAAUAGUGUAUUAAAGGGAAAAUAAGGCUAGAAUAUGUUAAGAUAAUCAUAGGAUAGAAAACAGAGGAAGAUGGAAAGGAAUUGCUGAAAUAAUUAACAGAAGUGGAAAACAAAAAGGGAGGUGUGAGGAGGUCGUGGAAAUAAGGGAUUGAAAAAUAAGACAUUGAAAUUGUUUUGUGUUUGAAAUAGUUUGUGUCUUGCUUUGUUAGUUUUAUGUUUUUCUUGUUUUUCUCUUUUUUCCUUUCUUUUUUUGUCUUUCUGUUUUGUUGUGUUUAAACGGUUGAAAAUUAAUAAAUAUUAUUUUUUUAAAAAUGAAUAAAGUUGUUAUAGUAGACCACAUGAUUAAUGCUAGGUUGCUGAUAUCAGGCUGUGUACAAACUCCUGUUUACUCUGCAUCCAAUAUACUCCCACCACUGCUUUUAGCCACAAUCCACAUCUAUCCUGUUAUUUCUUAAUAAAUACUACAAUAAAUAAAGAAUAAAAUAAAUAAAGAAUAAAAUAACGCAAUACCCAAAUCAGCUUGGGUCUAGUUUAGAAACCUAAGCCAUAGGAAGGCGCCCCCUGCAGCCACUGGUGUGGACAGACAGCACACAACCAGGAAACACGGCUGGGAGGUGCACAACACUCAGCAAGGCAGCGAGGGAGGCGGAGACGACUUGGCUUCAUUUUAAGUCUGUUGUGUGUCUGCAGCCAACCCUCCGUUGCCAGAAAAACCCACUCUUUGGUUUCUUUAAACUUUUCAACAUAAAUCAAUGGGUUUAGGAUCACAGGAAUUGAUUCAUACUAUCAACAGCACUAGAAAUCUGCUCUAUGUUCAGCAUAUCUUCCAACCUGGAAUCUCAUUCACCUUAAAGAAUUCUGUGGCUCUUAGGAGUUCUUGGUCACUAUCAUUUCAGAUUGCAUUUUGAAUAUGUCUCCCAUCAAAAGUUCACAGGAAACCAGCUUGGAAACCUAUUCUGAUCUUUCUCUCUGGGGCGUUUUAUGUGCAACAAAGUGUUUGAGUGUGUGCUGUGGAAGACCUUCUUCUGUUCUACCCUGGUACAGUCCAGGAGAUCCAAGGCCUCUGGGAUUUAUCGUCAUCUAUAGAUUAGCUCUUAGUUUUCUGUUUCAAAUAUAUUUAUAUAUCAACCAUUGGUUGAGAAAGAGAGAGAAAUCAUGAACCCGUUAUCCAUUAAGUGUUUGAAUACAAGAGGAUAUCAAGAUGGAAUCUUGGACAAGGAAAAGAGUUUUCUUGACUCUCUGCAGCUUCACAUCUUUCCCACAGAUUCCAGCCUGAUGCAGCUCUUAUUGCCUGUUUUGAAGCUAGAAAUUUGCUUGUCCUUUAUAUAUAUUUAUUAAAUCUGCAUUAGCAUACAGCCAUAGCAAAAUAAGACAAUACAAAAAAAUGUUGGGGACAAGCAACCAAGCAAAAUUCAAAGCGAUAUUGCUGGCGUAAUGACAUUUAAAACACCCUAAGACAAUAAUACAAAGAUUUGGUUGCCAGCACCAAAAAACUAGUAUGCGGAUAUAAAUAAAGCAUAAAAUGGCCCCAAAAUAGGCUCAGCACAUUGAGUUAAAAAGGUAAUAAAAGAAUUAAACAGGUCCAGGACUAGGGCACACUACCCUGUCAGAGUAGCCCUGAGUUUCAGAGCCUGCACUGUGAAGAUUGCCACCCCACGUGAAAUUUGGGGAUUUGCGUCCACAAGAAGUGCUUUCAGACAGUCUUCCUUAGAUGAAAUGGAGGACGGGAUCAAGAGGAGGAGCUUAGGUCUUAUUGGGUCAUAAAUAGGGCAGUAGAAAAAGAAAUGUAUGAAGUCCUCUACUUCAUUCAUUGUGCAUGGACAUAGACGCUGAGUAAUAGGGGUCUUAGAGUAGGUCCCCUGCAAGAAGGCCGUGGGUAUAGAAUGAAAACGGGCCAUUGUAAACGCUCUUCUCAAGUUGGGCUCCGUCAGGUCUAUCAAGUAGUUGGCAAGUGAUCUUACCACUUUCACUUUAGGGAGCCACAUGGAGAGCGAGCUGAGGUGGACUGUGCCCGGUCCAUGGCCUCAUCUCUUAUAAGAAUCCAGUCCCGGAUUUUAUGUUGGUCCCAAGAUGACAACGUGUCGAAUUCUGGGAGGGAGUAGCGUACAGUAAUAGUCUCCAUGGCCUUGGACCAUUUGUUGGAGUGAGAACAAGUUAAAAGGCUUGCCUGGCUAGUAGGAACCUGGGGCAUUGAUUAAUUUGCAAUAAAAACUAAUAAUUCUAAUAUGGGCUCUCGCAACAAUGGAGGGAGGCCCAGUUCUGUUCUUAACUGAGCAGCAACCGAGCCCUUAGGGAGACCCAGUAACUUUCGUACAAAAGAGUUUUGUAGAAUCUCCAGCCGUUGAAGUGUUUUUAAAUUCCACCCCCAGAUUUCAACCCCAUACAGUAACAUCGGGAGGACUUUGCUAAUAAAUGCUUUUCUGAUUGGUGGAACCAACUGGCCGCCUUUUGCAUAGAAGAAUUUCUCCAAGGCUUUGAUGGUUCUACGGGCAGCCAGGAUGGUCAUAUUUAGGUGAGCUGACCAACUAAGCCCAUGCUUGUCCUUUAGAAUGGCAUCUAAAAUAACUCUCUUUUCCCUCCAGUUGCAUUUUAUCUCUUUUCCAACUCCUUUUCUUGCAGAGAUGCCACAUGCAAAUUGCCUUUUAAAACAAAUAAGGAGUGUGGAAUAUAUGCAUAUUAAACAUCCGGCGAUACACUGAGCCUGCCCUUUAUGGGGCAGUUCUUUGCUCAGAGACCAUGUGUGUGAUUGAGAAGAAAAGUGCCUGGGGACAAAUGGGGGGGGCAGAGAAAGGUUGGAAAUUCUAUCAAUGCAUAGAGAAAUGUUAUGAAUGUCUUGCCAACCACCCCCUAUUUAUGCCAAUUUCAGGACAGAAAGGAAGGAUAAUGAACAGAUAAAAUUACCUCAGCUUUUUCUUCUCUAUGAAGCUAGUGGCUGAGGAGAUGCUGCCCAAAUGCUGUGACGGUUACCAUGUGUGUCCAUAACUAUUCUUCAGCAUCUGCUCUUUGAGUGCAAUUGGUGCAUUCCCAGUGUGACUGAAUGGGUCCUGGAAACAUAAUGAUUCUGCUUUGCCCAGGCAGGCACAUUAUGUGGCCCAUGAGAGCAGCAAAAUAGCUGGACUGUACAAUUGUGAUGAGAUAAAAUCAGGCCAAAUCUUUAUUGACAGCAGCAGGCAGGGUAAGGGCUGGCAUGGCAUUGGGUCCCAGGAUCAGUUCAUUGUUCCACAAACCCUACAUUGAUGGAAUGGGUCCACCCCGUUUGGAGAAUCUCAAGCCCAUUCUAUGGGAGCCGGCCACUGUGGAACCUGACCCGGGUGCAAGUCAAGCAAGCAAGGUCUCGCUGGGUGACCAGGGUACGGAUUCCAGCCAGGCAGACCCCCCCAACCCGAGCUUGGGGGUGCCAUGGUCAAUCCUCCCCACCUGUCCCUUCAGGGUUGCAAAUCCCAGUAAUUAGAUUUCUAUUUCUACAUUUUUGAAAGCAUUUACUAGUAGACAAGACCCUUUGUUACUAAAUUCAUCAUAAGUACUCUUAAUUCUAGCCAAUGCCUUACCUAUUUGUUCAGUUUCUAAGAACUCAGAUGCAUUUUUACCAAAAAAAAAUGCAAUCUUGAUUACUGGGUUCCUUUCCCUUUCUAAUUGUAAGGAUGUCUUUACAAUUUCAAAUGCAUGUGACCGUUCCAUUUUCUUCUGCAUGAAUUCAUGCCCGCUGAAUUCAUGCCCGCUGAAUGAAUUCAUGCUUAUUUAUCAGAGAAGCCAACAUGGUCCACUUCAGAUAUUGGUGGGCUACAAGUGAAAAAUUUAAGAAGGAUAUUGGCAAACUGGAACGUGUGCAGAGGAGGGCAACCAGAAUGAUCAAGGGACUGGAAACCAAGCCUUACGAGGAACGGUUGAAGGAGCUGGGUAUGUUUAGCCUGGAAAAGAGGAGACUGAGGAGAUAUGAGAGCCAUCUUCCAAUAUCUUAAGGGCUGUCACAUGGAAGAGGGAACGAGCUUGUUUUCUCCUGCUCUGGAGUGUAGGACUCAAACCAAUGGUUUCAAGUUACAAGAAAGGAGAUUCCAACUAAACAUCAGGAAGAACUUUCUGACAGUAAGAGCUGUUCAACAGUGGAACAGAUGUCUCCCUUGGGAGGUUGUGGACUCUCCUUCCUUGGAGGUUUUUAAACAGAGGUUGGAUGGCCAUCUGUCAUGGAUGCUUUAGCUGCAUAGCAGGGGGUUGGAUUAGAUACCCCUUGGGGUCUCUUCCAACUCUAUGGUUCUGUGAUUCUAUGAACUCUAAUCAGCCCCAACUUGCAUGGCCAGUUGAAUUGUAGUCUAACAACAUCUUGGGGACACCACAUUGUCUACCCUUAAUGUAGAUGGUUCAGAACCUUUCUGAGGUUUCUCAUUGAGCUUCAUGUUGCAGUUGUUUCUGCAGUUGCUUCAAGAGUGACAACUACUCCUUGUUACCAUGUUGCACCAUAAGGUUUCAUGAAUAAACCAGGAAAACCAGGAUCACCUUUCCCCUCCAUAGUUGAUGAUAGAAGAAACAUCCAGGGAUGUGUUGCUUAAAUUGUCAGUGUCUCGUUACAAACAAUAGCCUUUUAUUCCUCUCUCUGAAAGCAGCACUAGCAAAACUUAUUAAUUGCUUGGGAAAGAAAAGGAAAGCUAGAUGUUUUGUGCUAUUAACAUAUGCUGACUUUGCCUCAUUGAAGUACGAGUUCAUAAGUCCAGAGCUGCUGUCACUGAGCAAAUGAGCUUAUUUGUCUUACUUUAGUCUCAGGAGGACAGUUGCCAACAAUCUAGUGCUCCUUCGUGCAUGCACAUUAGCACAGAUCUGCACACUUGCUGUCAAAGAAGUCCACCCAGUUUAACUUUGAGAAGUUUUCUAAAGGAAGCGCAUUACAAACAGAUAACUUAUCAAGGUGAUGGAUUGCCUUAUCAGUGUGUAAUGCACUGUUCCAAAAUGAUACACAUAAAACAUGUGCUGAUUAGUAUCAGCCAAAUGCAAUGCCCUAUUUUGGGGUACUAGAAAAAAGUAUCUUUUGCAGCCCCCCCCCCCCCGCCAGCUGCAGAUAUAAGGCACCCUUUACUGGUGAGAUAAGGUGGUUCUGAACAAAGAAUUAUUUUUGCCUCAGUUGUCAUCACAGUUAGUGGGAAAAGAUGAGGCAAAAAUCAUUCUGACCUACACAUUGCAAGCUUUAAUACUUGUAGCCAUAGACCAUCUCAAAUCUGCAAAUAAGGGCCAAUAUAUUAAAACAAUAAUAUCGCUACAUCCACUACUGAUUAAAAACUGCAUGUCAGAUAUUGAUGGUGAUGUUACCUCUGCUUGUAUAGUUUGGAUGAUCUGCUUUUUAUUUUAUUUUUGGAUUGAUUCACUUGGUGAAUUAAUAAGUGUACAGUGUUGCACUUACGACUUGCGAUGCAGUCCUAGUCAUGCUCACUCAGAUACUAGUCUGAGUGAAAGAGGUGUAUGAAAACUUAGAGCAUGUGAAAGAGCAAUUAUAGAGGUCUGUAACAUUAAUGCAGGACAUUCUCACACAGAAGCAUAUACAAACCAGUGGGUGACACUGACUAUUUAAGCAAGACUGGAUGUUGAGUGAUAGUUUGAAGCAUGGCACUUUGUGGCAUCUCAGUUCAAACACUAACACUGUUGUCUCCUCCCAAAGGUGAGUCUUUCGGAAUGACAAAGCUCCAGGUAGUCAUGGCAGCCACAUCCUUUAUUCUCCCAGGUAGUAGUCCUUCCAAGAUGUGAAUACAUCCUGCGCUGUCCAGAAAGUGAGCAGAGCCAUAGCUCAUUCUUGAGAAAAUAAAAUCAACCGUACAUCAAGUGUAACAAUGUUGUGGUGCAGACUACUGCAUGCUUUGCCAAAGUUGUUUUCAAUAAGCAUCGGAUGGAAAUCCAGUCAGCCUUGUCAUGUAACUAGGGAAAUACUCUGAAUGCUUAAAUACAAAAUACCAAAACAAUCUAGCAUUGUUAAAGCAAGUGAAUGCAAAACAGAUUUUUGAAUGAACACCUGUGGCAUGGUAUCUGGAUAACCCUGAUGUUCCCCAGAUCCCCGGCCGGGGACUGUGAGGGAUAAACGCCCAAUGCCUAAGCCAAGGUCUCCCUACAUCUGAAGCUUUAAUAAAGUUGUGGCCAAAUUUUAAUCCCAUAACAUGUUGUCUUGAGUCAUUAUUCCACUUGGGUGGAAGAAGAAGAAGAAUACAACAAAAGGGAUGAGCUCCACUUGAAUCAAGAGGGAACCAGACUGUUGGUAUCUAUCUAUCUAUCUAUCUAUCUAUCUAUCUGAAAUAAAGUGGGAGAACAGCUUCUAAAAUGAUUGCCAGGGCAGGAGGUCCUAAAAGGAGUUGAGGGAGUGUCUGGUUUGGAACAACUUCAUCCCCUGGUAUGAAGGUUAAAAAAAUAUGAUUCUUUAAAUUAGAAAGGGGUAUAACUAGGCACUGAGAAUGCAAGGGCACAGGAUAACAAUUCAAAGAGGCCAAAACAAAACAGAAGUGCCAAAGACAUUUGGAGAGAGAGAGAAACUAGAAGCCUCCAAGUCAAGAUGAGCAGUCUGUAAUGCUUGGUCUUAGAGGACAAAACUGGCAUAGUAGUGCCAAGUGGUGGUUCACGGCCUGUGCCAGUCUAAGCGACGUUGGCUGCCAGUCCCUGACAACUCCAGCAUUGCUCAGGUUGAGUAAGGAGCAAAUAUGUUGCCAGUCCCUGACGCAUUGGGGGGGGGGCAGGAAUGCUGGUCAACCAUUUCAGAUAGUUUGAGAAUCAUAGUAGGUCAAAUGGAAGUCUUUGGGGGGGUGAGUGGGGCACAGUUAUCUUUGGGUGUAAAGUCUAUAGCAGGGUUUCCCAAAGUUGGAUCCCCCUUGAUUUACUCCCUAGUAAGAGUGUGUAGGAUUGCAGUCUUAUUGGUGGCCUUUGGAUUCCUCACAUCCUUUCUUGAUGUCUAAGGGACUAAGGGACUAACUGAUCUUAGAUUAUGAUUUGGAUUGAUGCAUGUUAACAAGAAGUAAAUAUAUUUCAGGAUAAUUUGUUGAAAUCAGAGUCAGAAUUGAAGCAAUGCAAAGGAGCAAGAUGCUACAAAAUAAUAUAAUAUAAAAAAAAAGAAGUGUAAUUGCAUACAGUCUGUGUCAAUGCAUGUAGAAACACAUGGACAAUUUCAACAUCCAGUUUCAAAAGAAAGGGGUAUGGAGGGAGGGAUUAUCAGCUUUCUGCAGGAUAUUGAUGAUCUAGAAUGACUGGGUAUCAAACAUUCCCAGUAGAAGUUAUUAUGGCAAGGAAGUUGUAUAAUUGUGAGGGUACUUGUUCAGUCCUAGUCCCAUUUCUUCAGCAGAAAUGAAGCGGUCAGUCAGUCACCUAGAAACCAAAUUCAAUCGGGAUCCUUUCUUAUGUGUGAGAUGUACAAGAAAGUCAUUCAGAUAAUUGUACCGGGCAGCCAAAUCAUCUGUAAACUGUAGUGGUGACAUGGGGGGGGGAGGGGUAAGGCUUCCAGUGUUCAUAUGAGUAGAAAUGUCAUGCAAUUCAAUUAGUCACUAGUAAUUUCAAGUCCCUGAGCACUCCCAGUUCUGGAGAAAGUGUGGUGCAGAGGAGCAGCGCUAGUGGCUGAAAAGGGCAUAGAACUAGGGCCAAAUUUGGCUCUGGGCAGAUCAGGAGGGCAGGUGUUUGUGGUCUCACGUCCAGUCACCCUAUAAGCAAAGUAAUUUUUUAAAAAUGGUUAAAAAGAGAAGAAGAAAUGACCUUCACUAUAGAUGUAGAAAGAAUAAAGGAUUUGGAUUGUGUCACUUUUUGUUAAAAUCAUUUCUAUCCUUGGUUAUGUUUUAAUAUGUUGUUUGGAAGUUUUAUUCCUAAGACUUUUAGGCACUUGAAGACAAAGCUCUUUUUUGUAAGUUGCUUUGAGUUUCAUUCUUCGAAAAUAGGCGACUAAUAAAUAUCAUCAGCAUCAAAUCCUCUACAAAGGGAUCUCCUAUCCUGUAAGAUCUACCUGCUCAUGUGAAUCCCUGUGAAGAGAUUUAUUUACCAGACUGCAAGCCUCAUAGCCCCAAGGAGCAUGUAUCCCACAGUUGCAUAACAUCUUUGUAUGCAGCUUUAUUAUAAAACUAUUAUUGUAUCAAGUCAGGCUACACAUGUAAAUAGAAAUAUUAAAUUACGUUGUUGAAUGUGGUAUGAAAUUUAUGUAAUGGAUUCCUUUAGUGCAAAGCAACCUCAAUUCCCUUCAGCAAUUUUCUAUUUGGUUCAAAGCUGUUGUUUCUUUUAGAUAUUCCAUUCCCAUCAGUUAGGUAUAUAAUCUGUUUCUAGUGAACUUACUUUUCUGUUUAGUUUUCUAAAAUAGUUAUUAAAUUCAAUAGACCAUUAAAAACUCUGCAAAGUCAGUGGUUGACACCCGUAUAUAAUGUUGUUAAAUGAUUUAAUCUCAUGGUAUUUGACUUGCCGGACGAAAAGAUCUAUAAUUUGUAAUGAAUAUAAUUUUGUUACCUCUAAUUAGUUGCAUGCCAUUGUGCAUUAAUAAUAGAAAUUAAAUAAUUGAGUACCCAUUAAAUAAUAAUAGGAAAGUUUCGCAGCUAUAUUUAUUAUAUAAAAUCAGUGUAUGCAAUUUUAUUAAUGAAUUAAUAUAAUUAUUGCCGUGGCCAUUUCAUUAAUUGAACUUGUGAAGUUAACUGGAUAAUUACUUCUUUCCUCAACGUAUCCUGAAGGGGAAGGAGCGAUAUUACAAUACUAUAUCCCACUUAAUGUUCAUUGACAAUUAUAGUAGAGGUGUCUAUUUUAUUUGCUGAGAUGCAAAGAUUCGGAGAGCCCUUCAGAUGAAGGGCAAAAUAUGGGUGGAAUGGGUUGGCACUGUGGCUGCGUGCAACGGUCAUGAGUUGGGUCAUGGCGAGAGGAGAGCUGAUGGGUCACUAGAAACUGGAGUGCAAUAAAUGGAUAGGGCAAUGGUCAGUUAAUUUCCAUGAAGACUGGGGAUUACAGGGUUAGCAAAUCAAUGGAUUUAAAUUAGCUGUAUGUUAGGCUCCCUUCCCUUGCUUUGAGUGUGUCUUUCUGGCAGCUGAAUUUGCUGGAUUGUGCCCAGUUUCACCAAUGAUUUUAGAAUAUAUGUGGCAAACACCUUGCAAAAGGGGGGGCGGGGAUUAAAAGCCAUGACAGGUGCUAAAGUAAAAAAACAAAAACACCCCAUAGUCUCAUUCACACAUGACAGAGAAGGCGAACUUUACUUUUGUCGAUGUUGUCAGCAGUAUGUCCAGCAAUGUUCCAAGCUGACCUUUCUGGCCACUUCUUCAUCUGCUUGCUGUAGACUGUUCAUUGUUUUCUGACAUUUGCUAAACUAAAAAAAAAAAGUCCUUGGGAAUUUGUUUCCACCUCUUGGGAAAAGUCUGUACAGCAUGCCUCUGUUGUGAUAAAUCUUUACCAGCCAGCUCAACACUAAGCAAAUGUCAGGCAGUUAGAGAAUAUACCCUGGCCAGGCGGUGAUAGAAAACACGCGUAGCCUCCCUUUAGGCCUGAGUGGCUCUUCUCUUGAUCUCAAGGAACGCGCUGCUGCAGAUGAAAGAUAGUGUGCAGCCCAUGCUUUGUUAAUCAAGUGAGCGAAUGCAGAGAGUGAAAGGUGUCAAAAGGAUAUCUCAGAGACAGCUGAAGUGGCAGGAACUUUCAUUGUCUACAAGUUCACUCGGGAGGCCUUGGAUAAAUUCUUCCAUCUCGGAUGCCAAAUGGUCGGCUCUGAAAUCCAUAUUUAAGCAGCAAACUUAAAGGGCCAUGCUUUUCAAAUGUGUACUUCACAUUGCUCUCCACGGUUGCUUGUCAAUGUGCUUUCCAUUACAAAUGUGCAGAACACUCUCCAGUUCCCGCAGACAUUUUGCUAGCCUGAUCAAAACUUUUUUUGCUUCACUUAAAAUCCUUUAGAUGCUAUGCCUGAAGAGGAACUCUCAGACUUGCUUUGACUUUCUCUUUAGUCAACUUCCAAGUGAUAACUCUACUUAUGCCCUCUGUGAACGGAAAAUUUGGCUGAUUCGCGAGGCCUUCAAGCCCAUGGAGUUAAGGAAAAAGAGAGAGCAGCAGCCCUAAGUGCACGAUGGAACACGAGGAGAAGAAGACUUCUGAAAUAUACUCAGAGUCGCAAAGUGAUUUCAUGCUCUUUAUUCAGCUCAUAGUGGUGAGGAGGAAUGAAUGAAUGUCCCCUCAAAGUAUCUGCUUUAUAUACAUUAUUUACACAAUGGGCUGCACAUGAUUGGCUAAGUCCGGAAUUCUACUGUAAGCCAAUCAGGUUGUGGAUUCACUUCUAUCUGGAGCAUGAUUGGGUGGUUCCUGCCAACCAAUCAUACUGCUGCAUUGUUCUAGGACCAAUCAGAUUGCUGCAUUCUGAAUCCUAUUGUUCUAGGACCAAUCAGACUGCUGCAUUUUGGAUCCUAUUGUUCUAGGACCAAUCAGACUGCUGCAGUUUGGAUCCUAUUCAACUCAGUACAUAACACCCCUCCCCUCUAAGUUCCAGUCCUGCCCGGGAGGUCACAUUCAUAGUCCUCAAGGUACGCCAGCGGGCUACAUGUGCGUUGCGGCCUGUGGUGUUCCCUGGUCCGGGGUUCAGGUUCUGGCUCGUGUUCCAAGGAUGCUGGCUGUGAUGGGGCUGUUUGGUCUGGCGCAACCGGCUUGCUCAGUCGUGGUUAUGGUUCCGGUGUCCUUUCGGCCUUGCGGGUCCUCUCUGUAUUUACUGGUUCUGCCUCUCCUGCUGGCCCCUCCUGCUCUAUGGGCCUCACUGCCCCACUGUUCCCUUGGGACUCCUCUGACCUGUCCUCCUCCUGGUUUUCUCCCGGGAAUCGUCGCCGUAUCUGGUCGCAGUGGCGGAGCCAGCAUUGCCCCCCAUCCGUUAGCACCUCGUACGACAGGGGGCCAGUGACCCUGGUGACUGUGGCGGGUACCCAUGCUGGGCCUGCCCCAAAAUUCUUUGCGUACACUGGGUCCUGGGCCUCGAAGGUCUGGGGGUUCCUGCCUUCCCCCACCACUACCUCAUCCUGAGCUCUGUCAGGGUGAAGGCUGUCCAGUCUGAUUGCAAGGCACCGACCCAUUAGUAGUUCAGCGGAGCUCUGGCCAGUCGUUGAGCUGGGGGUGCUGUGCUGUGCUAGAAGGAAUGUGGCAAGGCGGUACUCCCAGUCCCCUUGCGUCAUGCGGCGAAGGGUGUCCUUGGUGGUCCGCACCAUGCGUUCUGCUUGGCCGUUGGUGGCAGGGUGGAAUGGCACCAAACGGAUGUGGCAGAUGGCGUUCUGCGCUGUGAAGGUUUGGAAUUCUCCUGACGUAAAUGCAGUCCCAUUGUCUGAGAUGAGAGUGUCAGGGAGCCCGUGGGUUGCAAACAGCCUGCGUAGUACCCGGAUGGCUGCGGACGUAGAAAUGGACGGUACCAGUGCGACUUCCAGCCAUUUGGUGUAGGAGUCCACCACUAUGAAGAAUGUUUUCCCCUGAAAGGGGCCAGCGAAGUCCACAUGCAGGCGUGACCAUGGUGCUCGGGCAGACUCCCAGGACUAGACUGGGGCCCUUGGGGGAUCUGGGCGGGAUUCUUGGCAGGCCUGGCAUUUGUUUGACCCAGGCCUCUAUCUCUCCGUCGAUCCCCGGCCACCACACAUAACUCCUGGCAAGGGCCUUUGUAAUGAGUAUGGGUUGCUCGUGCGUAAGUUGCCGCCUCUCCUGGCUAUGUUGCCUUGUUAAACCUUUCUGUCUGGACAGCCCUUCACUUUGUGGCAGCCUCAGUCGCUAGCAGAAUCCGUCAGUGGGCGUUUCUUAAACCUUUUCCAACAUAAAAGUUGUUUGACGCCAAGUCUCCUCCUACUCUCCCUGCGCGGAAGCCUUCUGCGUAGGGAGGGUGUGGGUAGCGGAGGACCCGUGCUCUCCCCGCUGGUGUCCGGUGAAGAGUCCUGGAGCCCUCUCGCCGAUUCCCCAUCUGCCCCCCUUUAUCCCUGGUGUUGCACUGAUUUGCUUCCCCAUCUGCUGAGCUGCCUCUCUCCCUGCUGGGCCCUUCUCCAGCAUCAUUUGAGAGCCUUCCCUCCGCCUCUAGCUCCGAUGUCAGUUCCCUGACAGCCUUCAUUCUUACUACCCCUGGGUGUGUCUCGUGUAGGGCUGUGAGGACCCUGUUGCGGAGGGGCUGGGGAACAACGACCCUGCUUCCCCAUAACAGGCACCCCUUGUGGGCCGACAGUUCAUGUUUGCGGGUUGUGUAGCCGGCAAAUUCUGGCCCGGGGCUGCUGCUGGGCCAUCCCCUCCACACCCAGUCCAGGACCCGGAAGAUGACCCUAUCUUUCUUGGAAUGGUGUGCAACUUCUUGUGCCUGAAUGGGGCGGUCGGGAAGCAGCUCCAGGCUCAUAACCUCUUCUGCAGGUGCUGGGUCGGGGCCUGUUUCCGGUAGUGGUAGCCUGCUGAGGGCGUCCGCAUGGCCCAUCGCCUUCCCAGGGCGGUGAAUCAGUGCAUACUGGUAGCUGGCAAGGAAAAUUGACCACCUGAGGACGCGAGGAGACAGCACUUGGGGGGUCUGCUUUCGGGGCAAACAAGCCAAGCAACGGCUUGUGGUCAGUCACCACGGUGAAGGGCCGCCCGUACAAGAAAUCAUGGAAUUUUUUUACUCCCUUCAUGAUUGCCAGACCCUCCUUGUCGAUUUACGAGUAGUUCCGCUCAGUUGCGUUGAGUGUCUGGGAAAAGUAUGCCACCCGUACCUCUCUUCCAUCUGGGAGUUGGUUUCCAGGACAGUGGCAAUGCCAUAGGGCGAGGCGUCGCAUGCUAGCACCACCGGCAGCCUCUCGUCGAAGUGUGCCAAGACCGAGUUUGAGACAAGCAAGUCCUUGACUGCCUGGAAUGCGGCCUCCUGGCGCUGGCCCCACACCCAAGGGGCCCGCUUGUCCAGGAGUCUGUGUAGGGGCUCCGCUACCGCCGCCUUGUGGGGAAGGAAGGAAUGGUAAAAGUUCAAUAGUCCCAAGAAGGCCUGAAGUUCAGUCUUGCUCUUGGGCGCUGGGGCAUCACAAAUGGCCCGUACCUUGUCCCCAGUCGGGUGGACCCCUUCUACGUCCACCAUAAAUCCCAGAAAGUCCACUUGAGGCACUCCUAGUAGACAUUUUUCCCGCUUCACCUUGAGACCCGCCGUCUGGAAACGGUGCAGAACAGUGCAGAGGCGGUCCUCAAACUCCUCUGGUGUGGGCCCAGCAAUCAACACAUCAUCGAAGAAGGGGGUAACGCCAGGAAUCCCUUUAAGGAGGGAGUCCAUUAGAUUCUGGAAUAUGCUUGGUGCCACACUGACACCGAAUUGCAGCCUCUUUACCCUGAACGCUCCUCUGUGCGUCACAAUCGUCUGUGCCUCUGCUGUGGCCUCAUCUACUGGCAGCUGUUGAUAUGCUUGGGCCAAGUCCAGCUUGCCAAAAAUUUUCGACCCAGCCAGGGUGGCAAGGACAUGGCUGACCACUGGCACUGGGUAUGCAUGGGCCGUGAGGGCCUUGUUUAUGGUACAUUUGUAGUCUGUGCAGAUGCAGACCAAACCAUUAGGCUUGACGGGUGUGACAAUUGGGUUUUCCCGGGGGGCAUUAGGCACCGGCUCCAGCACUCCUUGCUCCACGAGCCGGUCCAAUUCCUUGUCUAUACGGGGUUUCAGGGCAAACAGGACCCGGCAGGCCUUGAGCCUGACCGGUCGUACUGCGGGGUCAAGCUGUAGAGCAAUGGGGGGGCCCCGUAUACUGUCCCAAUUUCCCAUCAAAAACCCCCGGAAAUUCCUUGCAUAUGGCGUCCACUUGUAAGCUAGUGUGGUUCACCCCGGUGACGGCUAGCCCCAGUGGUCCAAACCAUGCCAAUCCCAGUAAGCCCUUGACCACAAGCAAGUCCAGUUGCUGCGUCCGCCCUCGGUAUUGCACCCUGAAGGUCCCCACCCCCAUUGUGGGGACCUUACGUUUCUGGAAGUCCCGGAGGGUGAAUGGGGUCGGCCUGAGUUUGGGACCCCCAGUAGGACACAGUUUCCUUAAGGUCCUUGCCGAGAUUAUGGAUAGAGUUGAACCCGUGUCAAGCUCCAUGCGGCAUGGGGCCCCCUCUAUCUGUACCUCUACAUAAAUUUUCUCUACGUUGGGGUGGGGCAACUGGUAUACCUGGAAGUCCGUGAGCUCCGUCGAGUUGCCUUGGUGUAUUGGGCCCCGGGACCUGGGGCUCUUGGAUUGGUCCUCUGAUGCCUGGCGUCGGGUGGGCCGAGCUCGACACACCCGGGUGAUGUGUCCUGAUUUUCUGCACUGCCUGCACUCUGCGUUGCGGAAACGGCAGGUCCUCCUCUCGUGACUUUCCCCACAGCUUGCGCAGUUCCCUCCUCGUCGAGGCAGCUGUGGUCUGUGCGCUGCUUGAGUGCACUGCUGUACUCGGUGCACCUCCUCCCUGUCAGAUCCUGAGUCGUCGGUGAGGUCUUCGUGGUGGACCCUUGGUUGGGACGGCAGGCUCAGCCGUGCUUCUUGUGUCGACCUCUCAGCAGCUUCCGUUGCCAGGGCCUCCUCCAGAGCGACCUGGAACGUUAGGUCCUUCUUAGCCUAGAGGCGUCGUUGCAGCUUCUCAUCCUUCAGGCCACCGACAAGGCGGUCCCGAAGCAUGUUCUCCAGCUCUGAGAAGUUGCAGAACCGGGCGGCUUGGUGGAGAGAGGUCACAAACCCAGUUAUGGUUUCCCCAGGGGCUUGCCGCUUUGCGUAGAAGGCAUUUUGACGAGCCAUUGCUGUCGGUUGCCAUUCUGAGUUCCUUGUGUCCCAGAGCUGAAGCCUGGAUACACAGUGCGAGGCAGCGGUGCGGCAGGUGGCAGUGCUGCGGUGCUGUGUGUGGCAGUCAGCUCAGCGGGAUCCCACCUUCGUCGCCAGUGAAAUAUACUCAGAGUCGCAAAGUGAUUUCAUGCUCUUUAUUCAGCUCAUAGUGGUGAGGAGGAAUGAAUGAAUGUCCCCUCAAAGUAUCUGCUUUAUAUACAUUAUUUACACAAUGGGCUGCACAUGGCUAAUUCCGGAAUUCUACUGUAAGCCAAUCAGGUUGUGGAUUCACUUCUAUCUGGAGCAUGAUUGGGUGGUUCCUGCCAACCAAUCAUACUGCUGCAUUGUUCUAGGACCAAUCAGACUGCUGCAUUCUGAAUCCUAUUGUUCUAGGACCAAUCAGACUGCUGCAUUUUGGAUCCU
rnacentral:lncRNA from 1 species